UGGAUUUUUCAUGUUACAAGCCCGGACCAGCUCAUAAAGUAUCUAGAGAACUCUUCAUGCAGUUAUCUGCAGCGACCGAGGUUUUCACAGAGCAAAGCUUAGCUUUUCAAAAGAAAAUCCUAGAGAAAUCAGGCUAUGGUGAAAUGACCUACGCUCCAAAAGGCUUGAUGCGUGUCCCGCCAGACCAGUCCAUGGCUGAAUCCUGGAGGGAAUCAGAGAUGGUGAUGUUCGGAGCAAUUGAUGAUCUCUUGGCCAAAACAAUGGUGAAGCCUAGAGACAUAGGAAUACUUGUGGUGAAUAGCAGUUUGUUCAAUCCCACGCCGUCUCUCUCAGCUAGAGUUGUGAAUCACUACAAGCUUAGAGGGAACAUUUUGAGCUAUAAUCUUGGUGGUAUGGGCUGCAGUGCAGGACUUAUUUCUAUUGAUCUUGCCAAAGACCUUUUACAGGUUUGUUACUUCAAAUGGCAAACUUUUACGGUUUUUAAGGUGCCGCCUUCGGAUUUAGCAAUUUAAUUUGAAUGAUUUGACGACGGUACGGUUGAUAUAUAGCAUGAUUUGCACAUAUGUAUGAUAUUCUUAAAAUUAAGCAUGAGUUUGUACAUAUUUUAAAUCUACGUGUCAAAAGGUCUCGGGUUUAAAUAUUUCCUUUAUAUAAUAAAAGUAAUAAUAAUUACAAGGAUUGACACUUCAUUGUACCAGGUGCAUCCCAACUCCUAUGCCCUAGUGGUGAGCACCGAGAACAUUUCUCGCAACUGGUAUUUUGGCAAUGACCGAUCGAUGCUUGUCACCAACUGCCUCUUCCGUAUGGGAGCAGCCGCAGUCCUCCUAUCCAACCGGACAUUUGAUCGCCGUCGCUCAAAGUAUCAACUUAUCCGUACUGUACGUACACAUAAGGGUGCAGAUGAUAAGUCCUUCAACUGUGUCUUGCAACGAGAGGAUCUUGACACCCAAAGAGUUGGCGUCUCUCUCUCAAAAGACCUAAUGGCAAUAGCUGGAGAAGCCCUUGAAACGAAUAUAACCACUCUGGGCCCAUUAGUUCUUCCAGUCUCCGAACAACUUCUAUUCUUUGUAACCUUAGUUGCCAAAAAAAUCUUCAAGAUGAAGGUAAAACCAUAUAUUCCUGAUUUCAAGUUGGCAUUUGAGCACUUCUGCAUCCACGCUGGAGGAAGAGGUGUGUUGGAUGAGCUUGAGAAAAAUCUUGAGCUCACUGAAUGGCAUAUGGAGCCAUCAAGAAUGACUCUUUAUAGGUUUGGAAAUACCUCUAGCAGUUCUUUGUGGUAUGAAUUGGCGUACUCCGAGGCCAAGGGAAGGAUCAAGAAGGGGGACAGAAUUUGGCAAAUAGGUUUUGGUUCAGGAUUUAAGUGCAACAGUGCCGUGUGGCGUGCUAUAAGAGCUAUCGAUCCGGCCAAAGAGAAGAAUCCUUGGAUGGAUGAGAUUGAUGACUUUCCAGUUCGUGUGCCUAGAGUGGCACCUCUUGUUUAUUAAAAACAAUAUCAUCUCGGAAAAAAGGUCACCGUCCAUCGUUAUUAUUAUUUCAAUCGGCAAUAUUAUGUUAUUAUCCGAAUGCAGGAGUAAUUAUUAACGUGAAAUAAAAAUGUUAUUUUCACAUCUCUUUUGGUGUAGAAAUAUAACAUUAUUGAAAUUGGUGUUAUAAUGUAAUGGUUCUAGCUAUAUGUUUUCAUGUUUCUUUGUGCAUGCAAUCCUGUUGUAGCACUGAUCGGGUCCGAUGUUUAUUUAUAAUCGUGUGGUCAAGUUGGUCUUUAGUGGGAUUCUUGCCCGCUAUUUUCAUUCCAAUAUAUAUCAGUUUAUAAAAAAAAAAUAUAUAUUUCUGACAGCUCAUUCAUGAAUGACAUUCUCUCACAAAAUUUUGUUCGAUAAAAUGUAAUGGCAAUAGCACUAACGUCAGGUUCAAUUGAGGUAUUGGCUUAGAAAAUAAUUUGGAUUAUAUUGAAUCAACUUGUGCAAUAUAAAGUCUAUUCAGACUAAUCAAUUUGGUUAAAAUGAUAAUUUUUAUGAAACUAGAAAAAAAUAAUAUUUUAAAAAGGAAUAAAAAGAACUCCAAGUCAAUCUAGUAUAACCUGUCAAACUUUUCACCCAAGUAAUAAAACUGAAAUAACUUUAUAAAAAGUAAAUUAAAAACAAGUUAUGAAGCUUAUUUUUCAGUCAAUCAAAAUGAUAAAAUAUAAAAUUAUAAAAAAAAUAAUUAUAAAAAUAUCCAAAAAAACCUAAGUAAACUAGAUUAGCCUGUAAAACUUAUGACUCAGAUAAUAAAACUAGAAUAAUAUCAUAAAAAAUAAAUCAAAAUAAAUUAAAAAACUCAAAUCAAAUUAUAAUCACCUAAAUUAUACAAAUCAUGGAAUCGUUGUUUGGACUAGAUGGCAGACCAUGAGCUGAAUAUGUAGGGCUUUCGAAGAAAAAAUUAUUGUUUCAAUUAUGAGAAAAAUUUAGAGGGGGAAAAAAUUAAUUACCUGAUCGAAUGUAAUAGCACUAACGCAGUUAGUAGCAAGAAAAGAGGAAGAGUAUUAAAAAUAUGAUAUAUUAAAGAUUACUCAAGUGUGUGUAUACAUGCACAUGUGCAACCUGGAGAGUGAAUUCAAAUUUGAAAGUAUUUAGUAUAUCAUUUAUAAGCCUACAUUUAACAGGCUCAGAACCAUCAAUAGAUCAAAAAAAAAAAGAUUCAAGUACUAUCUAAACCCCUUUCUCUCUCUAGACCGGAGUCCGACAACUACCUCUCUCUCCUUCUAACAAAAAAAAACUGGAAAAUAUUGAGGAUUAAAAUAAAUGUUUCAACGAAACUUUUAACCCACCCCCAAUGCUACCCGAGAUUUUCACUCAAGUCCAUUAGCUUUCAAUUCAAUCCUCCUUCCUAAAAAAUUGCAAUUGAGGGCUAAUUUAGGCUUCAAAUAGCCAAAUCAUACAAAAUAAAAGUUCAGAGAUCAAAGUGAAAAUUUUCAAAAAUAAUUUCACCUUUAUUGCAUGUUUAGCAAGUUUCAUCGUUACAUUGUCCAGUCAAAAAUAAUUUAUAUACAGAUAAACAACAACAUGACACUGAACUAAUAUAAUUAGAGGCAAUAUUUGCAGGAAACAGCUGAAACAGUCCCCUUACGGAUAAAAGGAGCAAGCCACAAAAGGACUGGGCCAUGCAGGUAGAAUAAUUAAUGAUAGAUGCCUUCACCAAAAAAUCCUAUUUCACAUUUUUUGACCCAAAAUACCUAGAAAACACCGUAGAGAUCUUGUUAAACCAAUCCAUUAUCACAAAAAACCAAAAAACAACCCCAAAACCCGAAAUCCACCAGGAACAAAAAUUCUUCCCGCGCUAAGAUAUGUUGUUUUAGGUGUUUUGAAGGUAAAAAAAAAUUCAAUUUAUGUUUUUUCUUCAAUAGUAAUAUGUUUUGUUUUCAAAUUUAUUAAUAAUAAUAAUAAUAAUAAUUUUUAAUUUUACCCAUCAAAUCAAAUCUAUGGUUGUUUUUCAAUAUUAAUAAUAUUUUUCAAAUUUAUUAAUUAUUUAUAAUGAUAAUAAAAAUAAUAAUAAUAUUAAACUUGUAUGUCCCAAGUUUAAAAGGAUCUAGUUGCAAUGCCAGAUCCAAGUAUUUCAAUUUUAUCCUUAGUUAUUUUUUUAAUAUCAAAUGUAUAUAAUAACAAAAGACAAUUUCACCUUUAUUGCAUGUUUAACAAGUUUCAUCGUUACAUUGUCCAAUAAAAAAUAAUUUAUAUACAGAUAAACAACUACAUGACACUGAACUAAUAUAAUUAUAGGCAAUAUUUGCAGGAAACGGCUGAUAUAUUCCCCUUACGGUUACAAGGAGCAAGCCACAAAGGACUGGGCCAUGCAGGUAGAAUAAUUAAUGAUAGAUGCCUUCAUCAAAAAAUCUUAUUUCAACAUAUUUUGACCCAAAAUACCUAGAAAACACCCUAGAGAUCUUGUUAAACCAAUCCAUUAUCACUAAAAAGCCAAAAAAACAACCCCAAAACCCGAAAUCCACCAGGAACAAAAAUUCUUCCCGAGCUAAGAUAUGUUGUUUUAGGUGUUUUGAAGGUAAAAAAAAAUCAAUUUAUGUUUUUUCUUCAAUAGUAAUAUGUUUUUUUUUCAAAUUUAUUAAUAAUAAUAAUAAUAAUAAUAAUUUUUAAUUUUACCCAUCAAAUCAAAUCUUUGGUUGUUUUUCAAUAUUAAUAAUAUUUUUCAAAUUUAUUAAUUAUUUAUAAUAAUAAUAAAAAUAAUAAUAAUAUUAAACUUGUAUGUCCCAAGUUUAAAAGGAUAUGGUUGCAAUGCCAGAUCCAAGUAUUUCAAUUUUAUCCUUAGUUAUUUUUUUAAUAUCAAAUGCAUAUAAUAACAAAAGAUAAUUUCACCUUUAUUGCAUGUUUAGCAAGUUUCAUCAAAAAUAAUUUAUAUACAGAUAAACAAAAACAUGACACUGAACUAAUAUAAUUAUAGGCAAUAUUUGCAGGAAACGGCUAAUAUAUUCCCCUUACGGUUACAAGGAGCAAGCCACAAAGGACUGGGGCAUGCAGGUUGAAUAAUUAAUGAUAGAUGCCUUCAUCAAAAAAUCUUAUUUCAACAUAUUUUGACCCAAAAUACCUAGAAAACACCCUAGAGAUCUUGUUAAACCAAUCCAUUAUCACUAAAAAGCCAAAAAACAACCUCAAAACCCGAAAUCCACCAGGAACAAAAAUUCUUUCCGAGCUAAGAUAUGUUGUUUUAGGUGUUUUGAAGGUAAAAAAAAAUCAAUUUAUGUUUUUUCUUCAAUAGUAAUAUGUUUUUUUUUUCAAAUUUAUUAAUAAUCAUAAUAAUAAUAAUAAUUUUUAAUUUUACCCAUCAAAUCAAAUCUAUGGUUGUUUUUCAAUAUUAAUAAUAUUUUUCAAAUUUAUUAAUUAUUUAUAAUAAUAAUAAAAAUAAUAAUAAUAUUAAACUUGUAUGUCCCAAGUUUAAAUGGAAAUGGUUGCAAUGCCAUAUCCAAGUAUUUCAAUUUUAUCCUUAGUUAUUUUUUUAAUAUCAAAUGUAUAUAAUAACAAAAGACAAUUUCACCUUUAUUGCAUGUUUACCAAGUUUCAUCGUUACAUUGUCAAAUAAAAAAUAAUUUAUAUACAGAUAAACAACAACAUGACACUGAACUAAUAUAAUUAUAGGCAAUAUUUGCAGGAAACAGCUGAAAUAGUCCCCUUACAAAUACAAGGAGCAAGCCACAAAAGGACUGGGCCAUCCAGGUAGAAUAAUUAAUGAUAGAUGCCUUCACCAAAAAAUCCUAUUUCAACAUAUUUUGACCCAAAAUACCUAGAAAACACCCUCGAGAUCUUAUUAAACCAAUUCAUUAUCACAAAAAAGCCAAAAAACAGCCCCAAUACCCGAAAUCCAACCGGAACAAAAAUUCUUCCCGGGCUAAGAUAUGUUGUUUUAGGUGUUUUGAAGGGAAAAAAAAUUCAAUUUAUGGUUUUUCUUCAAUAGUAAUAUGUUUUUUUUUCAAAUUUACUAAUGAUAAUAACAAUAAUAAUAAUAAUAAUAAUAAUAAUAAUAAUAAUAAUAAUUUUACCCAUCAAAUCAAAUCUAUGGUUGUUUUUCAAUAUUAAUAAUAUUUUUCAAAUUUAUUAAUUAUUUAUAAUAAUAAUAAUAAUAAUAAUAAUAUUAAACUUGUAUGUCCCAAGUUUAAAUGGAUCUGGUUGCAACGCCAGAUCCAAGUAUUUCGAUUUUAUCCUUAGUUAUUUUUUUAAUAUCAAAUGUUUAUAAUAACAAAAGAUAAUUUCACCUUUAUUGCAUGUUUAGCAAGUUUCAUCGUUACAUUGUCCAAUCAAAAAUAAUUUAUAUACAGAUAAACAACAACAAGACACUGAACUUAUAUAAUUAUAGGCAAUAUUUGCAGGAAACAGCUGAAAUAGUCCCCUUACGGAUACAAGGAGCAAGCCACAAAAGGACUGGCCAUGCAGAUAGAAUAAUUAAUGAUAGAUGCCUUCACCAAAAAAUCCUAUUUCAACAUAUUUUGACCCAAAAUACCUAGAAAACACACUAGAGAUCUUGUUAAACCAAUCCAUUAUCACAAAAAAGCCAAAAAACAACCCCAAAACCCGAAAUCCACCCGGAACAAAAAUUCUUCCCGAGCUAAGAUAUGUUGUUUUAGGUGUUUUGAAGGUAAAAAAAAUUCAAUUUAUGUUUUUUCUUCAAUAGUAAUAUGUUUUUUUUAAAUUUAAUAAUAAUAAUAAUAAUAAUAAUAAUAAUAAUAAUAAUAAUAAUAAUAAUAAUUUUUAAUUUUACCCAUCAAAUCAAAUCUAUGGUUGUUUUUCAAUAUUAAUAAUAGUUUUCAAAUUUAAUAAUAAUAAUAAUAAUAAUAAUAUUAAACUUGUCUGUCCCAAGUUUAAAUGGAUCUGGUUGCAACGCCUAAUCCAAGUAUUCCGAUUUUAUCCUUAGUUAUUUUUUUAAUAUCAAAUGUAUAUAAUAACAAAAGACAAUUUCACCUUUAUUGCAUGUUUAACAAGUUUCUUCGUUACAUUGUCCAAUCAAAAAUAAUUUAUGUACAGGGAAACAACAACAUGACACUGAACUAAUAUAAUUAUAGGUAAUAUUUGCAGGAAACAGCUGAAAUAGUCCCCUUACAGGUACAAGGAGCAAGCAACAAAAGGACUGGGCCAUGCAGGUAGAAUAAUUAAUGAUAGAUGCCUUCACCAAAAAAUCAUAUUUCAACCUAUUUCACUACCAGAAAUUCGCUAAAUACCAACGGAUUUACCAACGGAAUAUUUCUGUCGGUAAUUUGAGGUCGAAAUUACCGACGGACACUUUUCCGUCCGUACUUCAGUCGGGAACUACCGACGGAAUAUUUUUCGUCCGUAAUUCAGUCGGCAACUACCGACAGAAAUUUUUCGUCGGUAGUUGCCGACUGAAUUACGGACGGAAAAGUUUCCGAAUUAAAAAAAAAGGCGGGUCGCUGACGUGGAGGUUUUGGCGGGUUAUGUUUUUCUGACGGAAUCACCGACGGAUUCAAAACGACAGCCCGUACAGUGACGUGACCGGUUCGCCGUUUAAAUUACCGACGGACUCACCGAGGGAUUUGAAAUGGCAGAUCCGUACGGUGACGUGUCUAUGUUUCCGUCAGAAUCACCGACGGUUUCACCGAUGGAAUUUCCGUCGGUGAAACCGUCGGAAAAAGUUAAUAUAUGACAGCUCUGGCGACCCUCUCCUCCCCUAUUUCUCCUUCUUCUUCCUAAUCCCAACUCUCCUCACCUGCAAACAACCAGCCCCCCCUCCCCCCCAAAUAAAUCUUCCUCAUAUCAGCACAACAAGUUAUAUUUCUUGAAGUUUUGUUGUCACAGCAUCCGUGUUCUGAUUUACCGAUGGAUUUUAUCAAUUUUUGUAAGUAAUUGUUUCUUUUUAAAUUUUAACAUUUAAUUAAAUGUCAAUUUUAUUGUUUUUUUAGUAUAUGUAUUUUGGUAGUAGAUGUACAUGUUUUAUUGUUAUUUCUCAAACAAACUUGUAGUAUAUGAAUGUAUAAUUCUAUACCUGUUAUGGUUUGUUUUAGAUUUUGUAAGAUUGUAUUUGUUUGUAAAUUGUUAAAACUUUAUGGAACUACCGAAGUACAUGUGCUAUUUUGAAAUAAUUAAUAGCUUGCUUAAUGGGUCCGUUUAAAGUUUUAUCAAUGGUAUUGCGGAGUGGUAAUUUCUGUAAAUUUAUAUAUUUUAAUUCGUAUGGACGUUGAUAAAUAAUAAUGAAUAUUUAAUAUUUAUGAAAAGUUGUGAUUGGUUUGUUGGAUAAUCUCGAGGUAAAGUAAUAUUUUUGCAAGUUUAUUUACCUAACUUAGUUAAUUAAUACAUGAUGUCAUCAUAAUUUUAUAGAGGUUCGAUAUAAGUCAUGGAUGAUCGUUCAUGGAUGUAUCGAGAUUCACCCCAAGGAUUGCGGAGGAUGGAUUAUUGUAACGGGGUUCAGGGUUUUAUUAAUUUCGCAACAUCUAUUCCCAGAAAUUUUAUUGGAGGCGGUAUUAGGUGUCCAUGCAGGAAGUAUGAAAAUAAAAAGUAUCUGCAUCCAGAUGUUGUAAUGAUGCAUCUUUUACACAAAGGGUUUAUGGAGAAUUACCAGUGUUGGUAUGCACAUGGAGAAGUAUUUGUUAGCGAGAGUGAGAGGAGAAUGGAAGAAACGGUGGUUGGGUCUACUUCUAGUGCUAGCAACGUGCAUGAAGCGGCAAAUGACAACACUAAUCCUUACAGAAAUAUGGUUAUGGAUGCAAUGAGAAUGAAUCAAGGUAAUGGCAGUCAAUGUCCAAUCGUAGAAGAACCUAAUGCAGAUGCAGCUAGGUUUUUUGAUUUGUUGAAAGAUUCUGACGAACCAUUAUGGGAUGGCUGCACGAACCAUAGUAAAUUAUCGGCCGUAGCACAGGUGUUCACCAUCAAGUCAGAUCACGGGUUAAGUGAGGCCGGGUAUGACAAGAUUAUUGAAUGGGCAAGAAGCAUUUUACCUGAAGGGAACAGGCUGAGAGAGAACUUCUAUGUUGCGAAGUCCAUGAUGAAACCCCUCGGUUUAGGAUACCAAAAAAUUGACAUGUGCCCUAACUUCUGCAUGUUAUACUACCUUGAAAAUGCUGAGAUGACCGAGUGCAUGACAUGCGGGCAUUCCCGUUACAAACCUAGAACUGGCAGGGGAAAGACUCUAGUGGCAUAUAAAAAACUUAGAUACUUCCCGAUCACACCUAGACUGCAGAGGUUAUUCAUGUCACCAAGGACUGCUGAGCACAUGACAUGGCACCAAGCACACCAUGCGGUUGAUGGAGUGAUGGUUCAUCCUUCUGACGGCGAAGCGUGGAAACGCUUUAACAGUGUUCAUCCUCACUUUUCAGCUGAAUCAAGGAAUGUGCGUCUUGGGUUGUGUACAGACGGAUUCAACCCAUUAAGGUAAUUUGCUGCUCCUUAUUCUUGUUGGCCGGUCAUAUUCACAGUUUAUAACUUGCCACCGGGAAUGUGUAUGAGGCCGGAGUUCAUGUUUUUAUCUACUGUCAUACCCGGUCCAAGAAGCCCGGGGCAGAAUAUAGAUGUUUGUCUUCGACCGUUGAUUGAUGAGUUGGCGCAGUUGUGGUCCUCCGGAGCUCUGACUUAUGAUAUAUCAAGGAAACAAAAUUUCCUUAUGAGGGCGGCAUUGAUGUGGACUAUCAAUGAUUUUCCAGCUUAUGGAAUGCUUUCUGGUUGGAGCACGCAUGGGAAACUCGCAUGUCCAUACUGCAUGGAAAACAACAAGGCAUUCACCCUAGCAAACGGAGGUAAAGCUUCUUUUUUUUACUGUCACCGUCGCUUCUUGCCACUUCAUCACAGGUACAGAAAGAACAGAAAAGAUUUCUUGAUUGGCAGAGUUGAAAAAGAUGUUGCAUCCCCGCGUCUUUCUGAUGAAGAAUUGCAUGAUGUUGUCUCAGAGUACGGUGACAUUAUGUUUGGCCUUCAAUCAGGUAAGCAAAAGUUUCCUGGUUUUGGUUUGACCCAUAAUUGGGUAAAGCGAAGUAUCUUUUUUGAGCUUCCUUAUUGGAAGACCAAUCUGCUCCGCCAUAACCUUGACGUCAUGCACAUCGAAAAGAACAUGUUUGAGAACAUUUUCAACACCGUCAUAGAUGUGAAGGGAAAGACAAAGGACAACAUCAAGGCUAGAUUGGAUAUAGCUUUAUACUGUAACCGUAAAAAUAUGGAGUUGGUUUAUGAUGAGUCACGGGUCGCAAAACCAAGAGCAAGCUUCGUGUUAGAGAAAAACGCACAACUGCUAGUCUACAAAUGACUUAAGAGUUUGCAUUUUCCGGAUGGACAUGCAUCGAACAUAUCAAGGCUGGUUAAUAUAGAGGACUGCAGAUUGUAUGGAAUGAAGAGUCAUGACUGCCACGUGUUUAUGCAAACACUCAUCCCAUUAGCUUUUCGUGAUUUGUUGCCAAAGGGAAUAUGGGAUGCACUCACGGAGAUCAGUCAUUUCUUCAGAGAUAUAUGCUCCAGCAAGUUGAAUGUUGAUCACAUUGAGAGGUUUCAAACGAAUAUCAUCGAGACACUAUGCAAACUUGAGAUGAUAUUCCCUCCAUCAUUUUUUGACUCAAUGGAGCAUCUCCCUAUACAUCUACCGUUCGAGGCAAAAGCUGGAGGACCGGUCCAAUAUAGAUGGAUGUACCCAUUCGAACGGUUAGAUAUUACAGUUGCAAUGUAAUUCAUAUAUAAAAGUAUUUUAUAUGUUUUUCUUAAUUGAAAAUACUUGAUUAAUAUUUCAAUGCAGGUACUUGUUUAAUCUCAAGAAAAAGGUUAAGAACAAGGCGCAUGUUGAGGCUUCGAUAUGUGAGGCCUAUAUUGUUGAGGAGAUCUCAACAUUUAUCUCGUACUAUUUCGAACCUCAUCUGAGAACGAGAAUCAAUCGCGUUCCAUGGCAUGAUGAUGGCGGUGAAGUGCCUUCCAGUGGGAACUUGUCAAUAUUCUCCAAUACUGGACGACCCACACCUAAAAAUGCCGUAAGAGGAAGAUAUUUGUCGGAAAUAGAGUUCAAACAAGCACACAACUAUGUUCUAUUUAACUGUGAUGAGCUGAGACCUUUUAUUCAGUAAGUUUAUACUAAUUAAACUUUGUUAGUAAUAUACUGUUAAUUAUAUAUUGUAAUAUCAUACACUCAUUAUCACUUGCAGGCAACAUCGUCAAUAUUUGCUCUCCAAUAACUCACAGCUGACCGAAUCCCAGAUCUUUCAAUUACAAGAUGAGCAGUUUGCCACGUGGUUCAGAACACAUGUAAGCACUAUCACAAACUCAUUCUAACUUGCAAAAUUACUGUACGUAUGCAUGUCAUUACGAGAUUCUCGUUCAUUUACUGUUUAUUGAUGUACAUUACAUACAAGGUUUAUCAAAUGGGAAGGAAUGCACCUAAGUCAUUGUCUUCACUAAGCCUGGGGCCUGAAAGAAAAUGUAAGUGCUACAACGGGUAUUUUGUCAAUGGAUAUGUUUUCCAUACUGAAGAAUACGGGUAAGGAAGAAAGACAUACAACAACGGUGUUUGUGUUAAGGGAUCCACUAGUAGUGAGUUAGAAGUUGACUACUAUGGUAGAUUAGAAGAGGUCGUCGAACUGCAAUAUCAUAACGAGCAGAAUAUAGUGUUUUUAUUCAAAUGCUAUUGGUAUGACACGACUGAAAGAGGAAUCAUUGUUGAUCCGCACUAUGGUCUGGUCGAAAUCAACUCAAAAGCUAGACUCCGCAACAUAAACGAUGUCUUUGUUUUCGCAAAGCAAUGUCAACAAGUUUAUUACACAUACACCCCUUCAUUUAGAAAGGAUCGAUCAAGAGUGGAUUGGUUGUCCGUUUUAAAAACGAAACCCCGGGGUCGUGUCGAGGUUGUUCAGGAUGAGAACGAAGACACAAGUGUGCGAGAUGAAGUCUUUCAAGUUAGUGAGGUGGUUGAACCAUAUCGAGUUGCUCCUUCGAUUGAAUUGGAAGAAAAUUCAAAUUUUCGUGUUUUCGAUGAUAGUCUUGUUGAUGUUGACGCAGAGGAGUUGAAUUUUGUUUUGAGCUCUAGCGGACAACCAAAUAUCGAUGAAAAAGAUGAUAUUCAUAUUGAAGAUUGCGAUGAAGGUGAUGACAAUUCAAUUGAUGACGACGAAGAAGAAAAUUCUGACUAACUACCAAAAUGAAGCCCUAUGUAAAACCCUUUUUUUCAUGUAAUUUAGAUUAUAAAUGAUAUAUAUAUUUUGAAACACAAAAUAUUUAUUACUUUAAAUAAUUAGUUGAAAUGCCACAAUUAUGAGAUAAUUACUUGAAAUAAUUAUUGAUCAUGGAUGAUAUAUUUUGUGACAUGAAAUAAUUACUUGAAAUGCCACCACAUCACCGACGGCCACGGCAUUUCACAGAGAGUUCGAAAAUAAUUACUUGAAAUGCCACCCGAUCACCGACGGCUACACCGACGGCCUUAAGUCCGUCGGCAUUUCACAGAGAGUUCAAAAAUAAUUACUUGAAAUGCCACCCGAUCACCGACGGCUACACCGACGACGUUCAGUUCGUCAGCAUUUCACAGAGAGUUCGAAAAUAAUUACUUGAAAUGCCACCAAAUCACCGACGGCCACACCGACAGCCUUACGUCCGUCGGCAUUUCACAGAGAGUUCGAAAAUAAUUACUUGAAAUGCCACCCAAUCACCGACGGCUACACCGACGGCCUUAAGUCCGUCGGCAUUUCACAGAGAGUUCGAAAAUAAUUACUUGAAAUGCCACCCUAUCACCGACGGCCACACCGACGAAUUUAAAUCCGUCGGUAAGUUGUCGGCGGGUCAAUUUUACCGACAAAAUUACCGACGGACCGCGCGAAUUUCAAAGGGUUGUGCAUUAAAUGCGCCUCUGACCGCGUCAUCUUGCCGACGGAAUUUCCGACGGACCACGAAAGAUAUGGAGGGUCAUUAAAAAUUUUGGUGCGAAAUUCAAAAUUUACUGACGGAUUUUUAACACAUCACCGACGGAAUAAAUUAAAAUAAUAAUUAAUUUUAUAGCCGUCGGUGAAUCCGUCGGUAAAACUGCCAUAUAAGUUCAAGUGACCGCCCAUUCAGUUCAUUUUUUCUUCUCCUUCGUUUCUCACCUUAAGAAUUUGAUUUUUUUCCUCUCCAUUCUUCAAAGCUUUCACCUCCAAUCUCUAGCAAGUUUUCUUCAUCAUCUUCAUCAGUUUAAAAGGUUAGUGUUUUCUCUAUUUCAUUUUACUUUAAUAGUUUUUUUUUACUAUUUUUUUGGUUAUUUUUUUUGUUUUGGUGUAUUUUUUGUAAUGUAGAUAAAGUUUAUAGUUUUUUUUUUGCAUAAUUCAUUGCUAAAGUCUAAAGCUUUUUUUUUUUGAAUUUAUUGAAUAUUUUUUAUUGUUGUAUUGGCAUAAUUAUUAUUAGUUAAUUUGUUGAAUAUUUAUUGUUAAUGUUGAAUUUACCAUAGAAUUAGUAAUUGAAUAUGUUGGAAUAAUUAUUAAUUUUACUUUAUUAUUGCAUGAUUUGUGUUUAAUUUUUUCCAUUUAUUUUGAUUGUUAUUCUAGAGUUUUUUUUUUUUAAUUUAUUGUUUUGUUGUAUUGGCAUAAUUACUUGAAUUGUAAUUGUUAAUGUUGAAUUUACCGUAGAAUUAGUAAUUGAAUAUGUUGGAAUAAUUAUUAGUUUUACUCUAUUAUUGCAUGCUUUGUGUUUAAUUUUUUCCAUUUAUUUUGAUUAUUAUUCUAGAGUUUUUUAUUUAUUUAUUGUUUUGUUGUAUUGGCAUAAUUAUUGAAUAAUUACUUGAAUUGUAAUUCUUAAUGUUGAAUUUAACUUAGGAUUAGUAAUUGAAUAUGUUGGAAUAAUUAGUAUAGAUUGGGUAAAUUGGUUGUGGCUAUUGUUAAUAUGUGCAGGUUUGUGGAUUUGGGUAGUAUCCGGUGUUGUAACCCAUUUUUGGGUUCCCCCCAUAAAAAUAUAAAUAUAUAGCCGGAAGAAAUUAGAAAAAAAUAAUAAGAGGUGGGAGUGCUCAGAAAAUGGUUGGAAAAUUGGUCAAUGAGGUUAAAAAUAGAAAGAUUGGAGUUAGGACAGUAUAUUCUUGAAGGAUGAGAGCCCUAUUGAGAGGGGAAUUUUGAAAUUUGAGGAGAAAAGCCCAAAUUUGGAUGUUUAUGGACUUAAUUGGAUUUUUAAAUGAAUUUAUAGGGGAUUUGAUUGUAAGAAAAAUUGAUUUUUAAGUCAAUUUGGGUUUUAAUUAGAAGAAAUUUAAGUUCUGGGGCCAAAAUAUAUUUUUUAGGAAUUUAUUAGGUCAAAUCAGGGGCUUAAUUGCAUAAAUAUUGAAGUUUAAGGGCCAAUUGGGGACUUAAUUGAGAAAAUCCGAAAUCAGGGACCAAAUUGGAAGAGGCGCGUAAAUGGAGGGGCUGCAAUUAUUCGAUUCAGGGGCCUAAUUGAAGAAAUUGAAAGUUUAUUAAUCAAUUGAGGGCUCAAUUGCAUAAAUCAGAGGCCAAGGACCAAAGUGAAAAACGCGGCCAACUAUAGGGGCGGAGACCGAAAUUGGCAGGGAUGCAAUUGAAGGAAAGAAGAUAAUUGAGGGCUGCUUUGCAAAUUGACGCGUUUUGGCGUCUUGCUGGACUUAAAUGAAACGGCGCGUUUUGCCUAAAACGACGCCGUUUCAUUCCAAAAAAAAAAAAAAAAAAAAAAAAAAGAAGAAGAUCGGAACGGUGUCGUUUUGAACGACACUGUUCCUCUUUCUUCCUCCCAUGGACGUGCAGCAGGGAAAGAAAGCAAAAUGGUGGGUUUUUUCUUCUUCACGUGUGCUGCCUCUCUCUUGACCGCAUGCCUUGCCAGAAAACCGAGGGAGCCGCACCUCGCCAGCCACGCCCGCUGGCCGACCACCCGCCGCGCGCCAUGCAGAAAACAGGGGAGUAACGUCUCGACAGCUGCACCCGAAUGGCCGACCAACCGCCGCAGCCCCUGCCCCCCAUGUGCAGCCAUAAAAAGCCCCGCCUCUUGGCUCUAUAAAUAGACCCAAGAAGACAGAAGAAAAAAAGAAAAAAGGGAGGAGACCCGGAAGAAAGAAAAAAACCGAAGAGAGAGAAGAGGAGAGAAAAUCAACCGAAACAGAGGAGAGAGACACCGAAAACCCAACACUGAGAGGAAGGAGAGCUAGAAACCGCGAGGGAACAUAGAAAACGAAAAAACAGCAAGGAGCCGGGAAGAACGUCGCCGCCGGGGGAGGUAGCAGCACUGCUUGGAGCUGCCGUUGGGACUAUAGCGCCGCUUGAUACCACCACCGGCUUCCACCGCAACGCCACAACACCGCCGGAAACGCAGCAAGCUCCACCGCCUCCUCCGUGCCAGGUAAUUCUUCCUCCUCCCUUCAUUACUGUAUUUUCUUUUUUUUCGUUCCUGCAUGCAGAACGAAUAACGUUCUGCAUGCAGAAGGGUGGGGGGAAAAUAAUUCCCCCCGCCAGCGUUUGUUGCUGGGCCAGGCUGGUCCUGGCCCAGCCCAGUCUUCUGGGCCGGGUCUGGCCCAGAAGUGUAUAAUAGUAUCUGGGCCGAAAUCGGCCCAAUCCAUUUUUGGGCCGAGAUCGGCCCAACACUUUUGGGGCUGAGUCCGGCCCAGUUGUUUUGGGCCGGCCCAGCCCGAUUUAAUAUUAUAUAUUAUAUAUAUUAUAUUUUUUGUAUUACUUAUAUAUAUAUGUGAAAAAUUACGAAAAUUCUGCAAAAAUUAGUAAAAAAUAUAUGGGAUUUGGUUGUAAUUUUAUUACUAUAUUUUGAUCAAUAUCGGUUUGUAUUUUUAUACUGUAAAGAUACAAAUCCGGUAUUAAAAUACCCGGUUUUCGUCAAAACAUAAAAAAUACAUAAUUACAAAAAAAAAAAUGUUUUGUUUUCAUGCAUACGGCCUAGUCUCUCCAAUAUAUAUAUAUAAAUAUUAUAACAUCAUAUUUUUCACACAACAAAGAAAAUUUCAAAACAAUAUAUGUAUUAGCAUGCAUUUUGGCUUUAAUAACCAGUUUAUUCAAGCCAUGAGAACUAGGCCAAUAUUUCAAAAAAAUUCUAAAAAAAUCUUUUUGUCCUCUUUUAGUAUUUGGGAUUACGAAUUUAUACGUAAGACGUAUUCCUGAUAUAAAAAAUAUGGUUUUUCAUAGACGUUAGAAUAGUUAGGUUUUACCCGAUAAGAUAAGGACCUCCUUAUUGAGGAGGACUUUUCUUGAACCAUAGACGGACCAACAUACAUAGACAGUUAGAAGGAUUAGGUUUUACCCCUUAAGAUAAGGACCUCCUUAUUGAGGAGAACUUUUCUUGGACCAUAGACGGACCAACAUACAUAUACAUUAGGAGGAUUAGGUUUUACCCGAUAAGAUAAGGACCUCCUUAUUGAGGAGGAUUUUUCUUGAACCAUAGACGGACCAACAACUAGGAAACACAACGAGACCUUGAAUUUGAUCAGACAAAUAAACAAUGCAGCUUACCUUAGGUAGGGCGUAUUUGGGGUGCUAAUACCUUCCCUUUACGCAACCAGUCCCCGUACCUAAUCUCUGAGACCAGUUAGGGUUCCUAGUGACCAAAAUACUAGGUGGCGACUCCCAUUCCAUUUUCCUACCAACAAAAGACUAUUUUCUUGUCUCCCCACAUUUGCCAGAUAAAUACCAUACACACUUCCUAGAUUCUAAAAAGUGGAAUUUUCGCCGCGACGCCGCGCACCCCGCGACAGAAUGGCGACUCCGCUGGGGACUUUGUGGACUAAGCUUUGUUUUUGUCUGAAUUGUUUUUUCGUGUGUUUUUUAAUAUACUUUUCCUUUUGUUAUCUGCUUAUAUGCUUUAAAUAUUUUUUCGCAUAUUGUUCAUGCAUUUGUAUAGAACUGUCUCAUGCAUCUUAUAGAACUGUCACAUGCAUCACAUACUUUGAUUUUGAGAAGCACACACAAGCUUUAAGCUAGGAGGGGGAUUAGCGAUCUGCCCUAUGACUAUUGGUCAGGGUUCAGAUGCGUGAAACACCCAACUCAUAUCUGAGUGCCUGCUUGGUAAUGGUGGGUAUACUUACCUUAACUAUUCCUUGCAACGCCCCCAUACUGUCUUUACGAAGAACGUCACUGGGCAGAUAUGAGACCCUUCAAGACCAGAUAGAAAACCUACCCAUUCUCACCUAAUAAGUAGAACUUGUCCUUAGGAUAUCUAUCUUAUGUUCAUUUGCAUCAUGAUUAACAAUGUUAAAUUCAUCAAUCCAGGUUUUGAACCAAAUCAUGACUAAGUACCUAUCUUUCCAAGAGUUUGGGCAAGAAUUUGAGUUGACUCAAGUAGCUGAAGGAAAAUGCCCAAGAAUCGAUGCUAGUAGGUUGCCUUGCAUUACUAAGAUAAAUCACAUGGUAAAUGACUUGGGGAAGUUAGUGUCUAUUAUGGAAUACAUUGAUGAGACUAUUUUUGAAAGGCGAUAUGGGAGAAUUGCACAACUAAUGAGGUUACCCGUACAAGCAGCAGCAAUCAAAGCCCUACUGAAUUUUUGGGAUCCUAGUUAUCGGAGUUUUACCUUUGGGAACAUUGAUAUGACACCGACUUUGGAGGAAUAUGAAAGGAUUCUAGAUUUUCCAAACAACAGCCACAGGAUCUAUCUAAGGCGAAGAUUUGAAGACACAGCUUCGGAGGUAGUCAGUUUAUUAGGCUUGGGAAAGAUCAGUCAAUGUAGAGUCGCCGAGGGGGGUUUCAAAUGGAAGGUCAUAGAAGCCCGAAUGAAGAAAAAUGCUGAAGAAGGCAAGUUAGGAGAAGAACGAUACAGGUUGGUGGCCUUCGCCAUUUUUGGGCUAGUAUUGUUCCCUUCCGAAAUCGGAGUCAUCAGUUUGGAAGCAGCAAGUGUCUUCAUAGAAUACGAGCGUGACCAGAUCAAUCCUUCAUCAGCUAUUUUGGGAGAAACCAUGUUAUCACUCAAUCACUGCAGAAUGCAUGGAAAAGGAGCCAUGAGAUGUUGCACCCCUAUGUUGUAUUUAUGGAUUAUCAGUCAUAUCGAAACACCAAGGGACAUUUUUAACAACUUUUGGUGGUUUGACCUACGACCGUUAAAGGUUACCAUGGAUGAGACUUGGAAGAAUUGGGAUGAGAAAGCAUGGAUAGAUAAAUAUGCAGCAUUGCCAAGGAGCAACUUCAAAUGGAAAGCACCAUGGAUGAACAAUGCCAUCUGCACAAUGAGCUGUGGAAAUAAGAUAUGGGUUCCCUUGAUUGGUAUAACCGGGUACAUCAGUUACGCGCCCGCCCUAGUAACAAGACAGUUGGGUGGAAUGCAGUACGCGCCAAGAACUCUGGGUUUAGCUGAUUUCAUCGGUUUAUUCAAGCACCAACCCUUCCUCGAAGAAAUGGAGCUUAUCCGACAAGAUUGGGAAAGACCCCUGAUGGUAAAAAAGGAAGAAGGGAGCACAUUUGAAACAUCAUUCAGCCAAAAUUAUGCCGUUUGGAGGAAUGAAGAGCUUUCUGAAGAAAAGGGUUUCUCCAUACCAAAACAUCCAGAAUCAGCAAUAGAGCAACAAAAAAGGAAAAGGACUGAUAUUGAGGAAGAGCUGAGAAAGCAGCUAGAACAAUGUAGAAUUGAUCUCAGCAAGAGCAAAGGGCAGCUGCGACUGUUAGAAAAUCAAUUAGAGGAAGAAAACACGAUGAGGGUUUACUUGAACCAGCAGUUGGAAAAACAGGAUAAACAAUUGACAUCUUUAAAGGAAUGGCAGAAAAGGGCCGAGGUAGCGGAAGAAAUAGCAAAAGGGGUCCAGGCUGAGCUAAAGAAACGAAUGACCGAAUAUGAUGAGCUGGUUAAGAAGAAUGGGCUCGCAGAAAAAGAGUUGGCAAAGGUUAAAAGAUCAACAAAAGGCAAGAUGAAUGUUGACAAAGAGGUGAUGGAUUCCUUGAAGAAGGGAAAGAGCAUUCUUUCAAAGAAAAUAGAAGUUGAAAAGGAGAAGAAUCGGCUAGCCCAGCUCGACAUAGAAGAGGAAAGAAGGAUUAGAGCUCAAUAUAUGGUGCAGCUUGAGGAAGAGAGAAGUGCAAGAAAGGCCGCCGAGUCUGAUAUGAGAGAUUACCAGAAAAGAGCUGAGUCUUUGAAAGGAAGAAUGAUGACUUUACAAUCUGAGAUCGAGAUACAAGUAGAAGAGUUGAGGGAAUUGAGAAGCCAUUACUUCGAGAUGGAGGAGGAGCUCAGUAAGGCUAAGCAAGAGCGUCAAGAAUGUCAAGGCUACAUGGACAGCUUUACAGUCCAAAUUAACUCCAAAAUAGCCGAGCUGGAUAUCGAAAAGGAAGAACUGCAGAGGGUAAGGGAUAAGUUGGCCCGGUCGGAUGAUAUGGUUCGAGUGUUGGAAAGAAGUAAUGAAGCCCUAGGAGCCAGCAACGAAGUGAUAAUUGCAGAUAACACUGUGUUCCAUGAUAAGAUAAGGCAUAUAACGCAACAGGUCGAGCAAGUAGCCCGUUAUGCGGAAAGGUUGCAACGACAAGCUACCCAAGUUGGAAAUGAUGCUUCAAAGUAUCGGGAAUACAUGGCAGCCAUCACAUGUUUUAUUGGGGACUUAGCUAAUAGGGGAAGCGCCUUUUAAAGGGUAACAAUGUAUAACGCUCUGUUUUGUAAUCAUUGUAUGAAUGACUUCUAUUUAUAAGAAGGUCAUGACCUAUCUUUCUUUCUAAAAUGUUUUGGUAAGCUACAAUGAUAAGAACUUGGCAAACCCUCCUUUACAGCAAUCGGGUCAACUCAGAAAUCUUGCCUAAAGGAUUACGAAAGUCAUGAAUCAAUUUUAAAAUAUACAUUUGCACGAGCAUCAUAUUUUCAUCACGCAUUUGUUUAAUUUAUCAUAUGCAUGCCAGAUCGUGAAACAUAGGUCCCACAUCCAAGGUCCACAACACCCGGUCUAGAGCAAGAAUGGAGAACGAAGAGAGUUGGUACAAGCCCGAGUUGGCUUGCGAGUACCAUGGGGGUAAUCCCGGGCAUGGGAUUGAAACCUGUUACGCCUUCAAGAAGAGGUUGUUGGAGCUUAUUAAGAUGGGAUGGGUAUCCUUUGAGGACAAGCCCAAUGUUAAUUCAAACCCAUUACCUAAGCAUGCCCCAAAUAGUAGUGGAAUAGGCAUGAUCGAAGUGGGAAAUCAAUGCAAGGUGUUGAAGGUGCCCAUGAAGAGGUUGUACGACAUGUUGGUACAAUCAGGAUUUCUAAAGACAAAGGUGGAGAGCCGUUUGGAGGGAUAUGAUUACUGUGAAUACCAUGGAAGAGAUGGACAUCAUAUUGAGGAUUGCAUCGAGUUUUGCGAAAAGAUUGCAAAAAUGCUAAAAACAGGGGAGUUGAGGAUUGAACCCAUGAAGAGCAGCGGUGAGGUGAGUAUGAUGGAAGGUCGAGAUGAGAUGGCAGGAGUAUGUAGGAUCCAACAAACAGCUAAGGGGCCACCAAGGCUAAUCUUGGUCAAACCUUCCUGCACAAAAGGAAACCACAAUGCCAUGCAUUACAAUUACGGCUAUACCUCCAACGUUCAAACUCCACUUCCCUUGUUCCAAACCGAGAUUAGUGGUUUGACUCGGAGUGGUCGUUGCUUUACGCCCGAGGAGUUGAGAAAGGCAAAGGGCAAAGAAGUGGUAGAUCUUGACAAAGCACUAGAAGUUAAUAAGCCAGUAACGGAAGAGGAAUCGAAUGAAUUCUUGAAGUUGAUCAAGCAUAGCGAAUAUUGCAUAGUAGAUCAACUAAAGAAGACUCCAGCUAGGAUCUCCCUUAUGUCCUUGAUACUCAGCUCUGAGCCGCAUCGAAACGCCUUGCAAAAGGUAUUGAAUGAGGCAUAUGUACCCCAAGACAUCGAACAUAAAACCAUGGAGCAUCUAGUGGGGAGGAUCCAUGCAACGAAUUACCUGUACUUCACAGCUGACGAGCUCGAUGCUGAAGGUACCGGACAUAACAAGCCUUUAUACAUUACGGUUAGGUGCAAGGACUGCCUCAUAGGAAAAGUACUCAUUGAUAAUGGCUCGGCCCUUAACGUGUUGCCAAAACACAUGCUAGAAGAAAUGCCGAUCGAUGAAUCCCAUAUUAAGCCAAGUACUAUGAUGGCCAGAGCGUAUGACGGGUCGCCUAGGCCAAUAAUUGGGACUUUAGAAGUGGAGCUAUAUGUGGGACCACAAAUGUUCCUAGUAACACUUCAGGUUAUGGAUAUCCACCCUUCCUAUAGUAUGUUGUUAGGAAGACCUUGGAUUCAUGCAGCGGGGGCAGUAGCUUCGUCAUUGCACCAAUGACUGAAGUAUAUCAUGAAUGGGAUGUUGGUAACUGUCAAGGCCGAGGAGACAGUAUCCAUGACAAAGAAUGUAGCUGUGCCUUUUAUCGAAGCGGGUGAUUGCAAGGGUAACAAUAUCCAUGCCUUUGAGAUCGUGAACACCGACUGGGUGCCGGAAAACACAGUGCUAAGAAGGCCAAGGAUCUCAGAAGCAGCAAGGAUGGCAAGUCUAUGCUUCUUGAACCGCGGAAUCCCAUUUCAGUAUAACCUUAUUAUCGGGAUACCAGAAGGGGUUAAUUUGGCAAAGAUGAAAAGUGCUGCUCAAAGAUUUGGGCUAGGGUACCAACCUAACCAAGAGGAUUAUCGGUGGGCUGCUAGUCGGAGAAGGGCAAGAAGGAUGGCUAGAAUUAAAGGAAGAGAGCCUGAUGAAGAAAAGCUGGAAAUCCCUCCCCUUAGCGUGUCAUUCCCAAAAGCUGCAUACAUAAUGCAACAUGAUAAAGAAGCCGUCAAACAUGAGCAUAAAUACCUUGGGGGAAAACAAGGUGGAAGGAGAUGACAUGAAGACAGUAGCAAGAAAGGGAGAUGAAGCACUCCCACAACUGACGGUCUACACCAUAGAAGAAGUAUCCGCCAAGACCUUUGUGCGCAAGUUAGCUCAAGACGAGAAGUUUCAGAACUGGGUAACCCAAGAAGCUCCAGUGGUUUUCAAAAUGUAAACCAAUUUUGUUUGUCUUAACAUGCUUUUGUCAUUGCUUAUGUUUGCUUUUAUUUCCUCUAGUUGACAAUCAAGGCUCAUGAUGUCAGCUAGAUUUUAUGUUUGUCAUGGAGCCCACCUUUUCUUUAAAUAAAUUGUGAGAUCAUGCACUUUUCACAAAUUGCCUUAUUUUUUUAUGCAUUUACACCAAACACUUCCCGCUUUCAGGAAUCCUGAAAGCGGAUCUCCCACAACAUCACAUACAUUUAGCAUCAAGAAUAAAUGGCCAAACUUGAACGAGCAUGUGAUAGCUAUGGAAGAAGAAGAGUGGGAUGAAAGCAAUAUCAGUGAAUUCACUAGGCUAGUAGAACAACAGGAACAGACUUGGAAGCCUAUCGCUGAGGAACUUGAAACCAUCAAUGUGGGCAGUGAUCAGCUUAAGAAAGAGUUAAAAAUAGGUACCCUAAUUACUUCUGAACAAAGGAUCAAAAUGAUCACCCUAUUACAAGAAUAUUCAGAUGUCUUUGCUUGGUCCUAUGAAGAUAUGCCUGGUUUGGAUACAAAUAUUGUAGUACACAAGAUACCGUUGGAAGAAGGUUGUAAGCCAGUCAAGCAGAAGCUGAGGAGGGCCCACCCGGAUGUCUGGAUCAAGGUCAAGGCAGAACUCGAGAAGCAAUGGGAUGCUGGUUUUCUAGAAGUCGUUAGAUAUCCGCAAUGGGUAUCUAACAUUGUUGUGGUGCCUAAGAAGGAGGGGAAGAUUAGAGUGUGCGUGGAUUUUCGGAAUUUGAAUAAAGCUAGCCCCAAGGAUGAUUUUCCGCUACCACACAUAGAUGUUUUAGUAGACAACGCUGCCCGGAGUUCCACAUAUUCCUUUAUAGAUGGUUUUUCAGGAUACAACCAGAUAAAAAUGGCUUCGGAGGAUAAGACGAAAACAACUUUUGUCACACCUUGGGGAACGUUCUGCUAUAAGGUCAUGCCAUUUGGAUUGAAGAAUGCAGGAGCAACCUAUCAAAGAGCAAUGGUGACUUUGUUCCACGACAUGAUGCACAAGGAAAUUGAGGUGUAUGUAGACGACAUGAUUGCCAAGUCUAAAAGGGAAGAGGAUCAUGUUGAAGUUUUGAGGAAGUUAUUUGAGAGACUGAGGAAGUAUGAAUUAAGGCUCAAUCCUGUAAAAUGUUCAUUCGGAGUUAAAUCGGGUAAGCUGUUAGGAUUUGUGGUAAGUGAUAGAGGUAUAGAGGUGGAUCCAGAUAAAGUGAAGGCCAUCCAAGCUAUGUCAUCCCCUAAGACGGAGAAAGAAGUAAGAGGAUUCUUGGGAAGAUUAAACUACAUUGCUAGGUUCAUAGCUCAGUUAACAACAACGUGUGAACCAAUAUUCCGACUACUAAGGAAAAAGAAUCCUGGAACCUGGAAUGAGGAGUGUGAGGAGGCAUUCAAUAAAAUCAAGCAUUAUUUACAAAAUCCACCUUUACUGGUGCCUCCGGUAUCAGGAAAACCUCUAGUAUUGUAUCUAACAGUGACUGAAGCGGCCAUGGGAUGUGUAUUGGGUCAGCAUGAUGAAACCGGAAGGAAGGAAAGAGCUAUUUAUUACCUAAGUAAGAAAUUCACUGAAUGUGAGUCUAGAUACACGGAGAUAGAAAGGCUUUGUUGUGCGUUGGUGUGGGCUGCAAAGAGGUUGCGACAUUAUAUGUUAUACUAUACCACUUGGUUAAUUUCAAAAGUGGAUCCUCUGAGGUAUAUUUGUAACAAGCCCUUUCUCUCAAGUCGAAUUGCAAGGUGGCAAGUUCUAUUAGCAGAAUAUGACAUAGUAUACAUGACAAGGAAAGCCGUAAAAGGAAGUGCAAUUGCAGAUCAUCUGGCCGAUAAUGCUGUUGAAGAUUAUGAACCUUUGGAUUUUGACUUCCCUGAUGAAGAUAUAUUGUCAAUAGAGAAAGAAGAAGAGAAGACAGAUUGGUGGACGAUGUUUUUUGAUGGUGCAGUGAAUGUAUAUGGUAACGGGGCCGGUGCGGUAAUAAUCUCUCCUAAUAAGAAACAAUAUCCAGUUUCGGUUAAACUACAUUUCGAGUGCACCAACAACACAGCUGAGUAUGAAGCUUGUAUCCUCGGUUUAGAAGCGGCAUUAGAGUUGAAGAUAAAGAAGUUAGAUGUAUAUGGAGAUUCAAUGUUGAUUAUUUGUCAGGUUAAAGGGGAAUGGCAGACCAAGGAGGACAAGUUGAGGCCGUACCAGGAAUACCUAUCCACGCUAGCAAAGGAAUUUGAAGGAAUUAGAUUCACCCAUCUGGGAAGGGAGGGGAACCAUUUUGCGGAUGCUUUGGCCACGUUAGCUGCUAUGACUACCAUUGAUCUCAAGUGCAAGGUACAACCGGUACACAUUGACAUUAGAAAUGACCCAGCUUAUUGUUGCUUAGUUGAAGGAGAGAUAGACGGACAUCCUUGGUAUUAUGAUAUCAAGAACCUUGUGCAAAAUCACGAAUAUCUGGUGGGAGCUUCCAAAACGGAUAAGAAAACUUUGAGAAGGUUGGCUAUAGACUUCUAUUUAGAUGGAGAGAUUUUGUACAAAAGAUCAUUUGAUGGGACCCUACUAAGGUGUUUGAAUGAGGCAGAUGCUAGAAAGGCAUUACGGGAGGUCCAUGAGGGGAUUUGCUCAACCCAUGCUAGCGGGCAUAUGAUAGCGAGGAAAAUCCAAAGGGCUGGUUAUUUUUGGAUGACACUAGAGAAAGACUGUAUCGAUUAUGUCAGGAAAUGUCAUAAAUGUCAAGUUUACAGUGACAAGGUCAAUAUGCCACCAGCUCCUCUAUUUAAUCUAAUAUCCCCUUGGCCGUUUGCAAUGUGGGGAAUUGACGUGAUCGGGCCUGUUAACCCAAAAGCUAGCAAUGGUCAUAGAUUCAUCCUCGUAGCUAUUGACUACUUCACAAAAUGGGUAGAAGCUAGUUCAUAUGCCCACGUAACACAGAACAUAGUGAAGAGGUUUAUAGAGAAGAACUUGAUUUGUCGAUAUGGUCCUCCUGAAAAGAUAGUGACAGAUAAUGCACAGAAUUUCAAUGGCAAAAUGAUAGCGGAGCUGUGUACUAAAUGGAAAAUCAAGCAUUCGAAUUCUUCACCAUACCGACCAAAGAUGAAUGGCGCAGUAGAAGCCGCCAACAAGAACAUCAAGAAGAUUAUUCAGAAAAUGGUAGUCACAUAUAGAGAUUGGCAUGAGAUGUUGUCAUUCGCACUUCACGCAUACCGCACUACAGUCAGGACCUCGACAGGGACUACCCCAUAUUCUUUGGUAUACGGUAUGGAGGCAGUGAUGCCGUUGGAAGUGGAAAUCCCAUCGUUAAGAGUAUUAAUGGAUUCCGAACUAGAAGAGGCUGAGUGGGCCAAAGUGAGAUAUGAGCAACUGAACUUGAUCAGCGAAAAGAGGAUAGCUGCAAUAUGUCAUCACCAACUUUACCAGAAACGAAUGGCCAAGGCAUAUGAUAAGAAUGUUAGACCGCGGUUGUUUCAAGAAGGGGAUCUAGUAUUGAAGAAAAUAUUGCCGUUACCUGGAGACGAUCAAAGCAAAUGGGCACCGAAUUACGAGGGUCCUUACGUAGUAAAGAAGGCAUUCUCAGGAGGAGCGCUGAAGUUGGCUAGAAUGGAUGGGGAAGACCUAGCUCGACCUGUGAAUUCUGACUCUGUAAAAAGAUAUUAUGUUUGAUGUACGCUCCUAAAUCAAUAAAGCAAAGUUUGGCCAUUGACUUCUUUCUUUUUUUUGCAUUGAUCUCACAACAAUCAUUUUUUUUGCAUUAAUCCCAAUAGCGCAUGUUUUGUUGUUAUCGCACCUAAAAAAGUUUAGCAUCGGCUGAACGAAUUCCUUUUCUAUACAAAAGCCUAGGCUAAAAUCACACCCCUACACUGGGGGCAAUAAGAGAUGUUUUCAUGAAAAGUUUUACGUGUUUAAAAUGUACGGAAGCCUAUAGAUUUGAAAAUCAAGCUAAAGCAUUUGACAAAAGCAUGACAAAGAGGCAAUGACAAAUCAUACAUUUUGGGAAAAGGACUACUUAAAGAAAGUCAGAGAUUUCUUCUCCAAAAUAUGAUAGGAGGCAACACGAGAGAUGAAUCCAGCAUGCGACUUCAAAAGCAAGCUCAGGUUAAGAAGGAGGCUCAAGAACUCGAAGAAGGUGAUGGGGCCUAUGUUUCAAAACCAGGUACGAAUGCAUGCAUGACAUCUAAUCAUAAAGCAUUGCAUAUAUGUUUUUUGGAUCGUUACAGGAGGAGACCUUGAUGCUUUCCAACAAGAUUGGAGACGAAGAAAGAAUCAUAGAGGAUGAUAGCAAAGAAUCACGGUUUUGAACCAUAGUGGAUUCCGGAACAACGAGAAGAACAAGAAAAAGAGAGAAUGAAAAGUUUUGAACCCUGCCAUCAGGAAGAACGACAUCGAUAUCAGCUUUGGUAAUAAGGAAUCGCCAGAUGGGAUUCCAAAUUGAUUAAAGGAGAUCGCCAGAAGGGAUCUCGUGUUUCGCUAUUAGAAGGUCGCCAGAUGGGACCUCAUUUCAUGUUGAAAGGAAUCGCCAGAUGGGAUUCCAAGUUGAUUAAAGGAGAUCGCCAGAAGGGAUCUCGUGUUUCGCUAUUAGAAGGUCGCCAGAUGGGACCUCAUAUUUCAUGUUGAAAGGAAUCGCCAGAUGGGAUUCCAAGUUGAUUAAAGGAGAUCGCCAGAAGGGAUCUUAUGUUUCGCUAUUUGAAGGUCGCCAGAUGGGACCUCGUAUUACAUGUUGGUUAGAAGGAAUCGCCAGAUGGGAUUCCAAGUUGAUUAAGGGAGAUCGCCAGAAGGGAUCUCGUGUUUCGCUAUUUGGAGGUCGCCAGAUGGGACCUCGUAUUACCUGUUGAAUAAAAGGAAUCGCCAGAUGGGAUUCCAAGUUGAAGGAGAUCGCCAGAAGGGAUCUCGUAUCUCGCUAUUUGGAGGUCGCCAGAUGGGACCUCAUAUUUCGUUUGAAUAAAAGGAAUUGCCAGAUGGGAUUCCAAGUUUGAUUAAAGGAGAUUGCCAGAAGGGAUCUCAUGUUUUGCUAUUUGAAGGUCGCCAGAUGGGACCUCGUUUUUCAUAUUGAUUAAAAAAGGAAUCGCCAGAUGGGAUUCCAAAUUGAUUAAAGGAGAUCGCCAGAUGGGAUUCCAAGUUGAGGAGGAUUGCUGUAAAAGACAAGUUUCAGAUCAAUCAAGCUUCAACCAGAUCAGUUUCGGGAGUUCCGUUUUGGGGUUUAUCUUUAUAAAACUUACUGCGCAAAACCUCUGCUCCGUAAGCAUUAUAAAGAGGGGGCAUCUGUUGUAACCCAUUUUUGGGUUCCCCCCAUAAAAAUAUAAAUAUAUAGCCGGAAGAAAUUAGAAAAAAAUAAUAAGAGGUGGGAGUGCUCAGAAAAUGGUUGGAAAAUUGGUCAAUGAGGUUAAAAAUAGAAAGAUUGGAGUUAGGACAGUAUAUUCUUGAAGGAUGAGAGCCCUAUUGAGAGGGGAAUUUUGAAAUUUGAGGAGAAAAGCCCAAAUUUGGAUGUUUAUGGACUUAAUUGGAUUUUUAAAUGAAUUUAUAGGGGAUUUGAUUGUAAGAAAAAUUGAUUUUUAAGUCAAUUUGGGUUUUAAUUAGAAGAAAUUUAAGUUCUGGGGCCAAAAUAUAUUUUUUAGGAAUUUAUUAGGUCAAAUCAGGGGCUUAAUUGCAUAAAUAUUGAAGUUUAAGGGCCAAUUGGGGACUUAAUUGAGAAAAUCCGAAAUCAGGGACCAAAUUGGAAGAGGCGCGUAAAUGGAGGGGCUGCAAUUAUUCGAUUCAGGGGCCUAAUUGAAGAAAUUGAAAGUUUAUUAAUCAAUUGAGGGCUCAAUUGCAUAAAUCAGAGGCCAAGGACCAAAGUGAAAAACGCGGCCAACUAUAGGGGCGGAGACCGAAAUUGGCAGGGAUGCAAUUGAAGGAAAGAAGAUAAUUGAGGGCUGCUUUGCAAAUUGACGCGUUUUGGCGUCUUGCUGGACUUAAAUGAAACGGCGCGUUUUGCCUAAAACGACGCCGUUUCAUUCCAAAAAAAAAAAAAAAAAAAAAAAAAAGAAGAAGAUCGGAACGGUGUCGUUUUGAACGACACUGUUCCUCUUUCUUCCUCCCAUGGACGUGCAGCAGGGGAAGAAAGCAAAAUGGUGGGUUUUUCUUCUUCACGUGUGCUGCCUCUCUCUUGACCGCAUGCCUUGCCAGGAAACCGAGGGAGCCGCACCUCGCCAGCCACGCCCGCUGGCCGACCACCCGCCGCGCGCCAUGCAGAAAACAGGGGAGUAACGUCUCGACAGCUGCACCCGAAUGGCCGACCAACCGCCGCAGCCCCUGCCCCCCAUGUGCAGCCAUAAAAAGCCCCGCCUCUUGGCUCUAUAAAUAGACCCAAGAAGACAGAAGAAAAAAAGAAAAAAGGGAGGAGACCCGGAAGAAAGAAAAAAACCAAAGAGAGAGAAGAGGAGAGAAAAUCAACCGAAACAGAGGAGAGAGACACCGAAAACCCAACACUGAGAGGAAGGAGAGCUAGAAACCGCGAGGGAACAUAGAAAACGAAAAAACAGCAAGGAGCCGGGAAGAACGUCGCCGCCGGGGGAGGUAGCAGCACUGCUUGGAGCUGCCGUUGGGACUAUAGCGCCGCUUGAUACCACCACCGGCUUCCACCGCAACGCCACAACACCGCCGGAAACGCAGCAAGCUCCACCGCCUCCUCCGUGCCAGGUAAUUCUUCCUCCUCCCUUCAUUACUGUAUUUUCUUUUUUUUCGUUCCUGCAUGCAGAACGAAUAACGUUCUGCAUGCAGAAGGGUGGGGGGAAAAUAAUUCCCCCCGCCAGCGUUUGUUGCUGGGCCAGGCUGGUCCUGGCCCAGCCCAGUCUUCUGGGCCGGGUCUGGCCCAGAAGUGUAUAAUAGUAUCUGGGCCGAAAUCGGCCCAAUCCAUUUUUGGGCCGAGAUCGGCCCAACACUUUUGGGGCUGAGUCCGGCCCAGUUGUUUUGGGCCGGCCCAGCCCGAUUUAAUAUUAUAUAUUAUAUAUAUUAUAUUUUUUGUAUUACUUAUAUAUAUAUGUGAAAAAUUACGAAAAUUCUGCAAAAAUUAGUAAAAAAUAUAUGGGAUUUGGUUGUAAUUUUAUUACUAUAUUUUGAUCAAUAUCGGUUUGUAUUUUUAUACUGUAAAGAUACAAAUCCGGUAUUAAAAUACCCGGUUUUCGUCAAAACAUAAAAAAUACAUAAUUACAAAAAAAAAAAUGUUUUGUUUUCAUGCAUACGGCCUAGUCUCUCCAAUAUAUAUAUAUAAAUAUUAUAACAUCAUAUUUUUCACACAACAAAGAAAAUUUCAAAACAAUAUAUGUAUUAGCAUGCAUUUUGGCUUUAAUAACCAGUUUAUUCAAGCCAUGAGAACUAGGCCAAUAUUUCAAAAAAAUUCUAAAAAAAUCUUUUUGUCCUCUUUUAGUAUUUGGGAUUACGAAUUUAUACGUAAGACGUAUUCCUGAUAUAAAAAAUAUGGUUUUUCAUAGACGUUAGAAUAGUUAGGUUUUACCCGAUAAGAUAAGGACCUCCUUAUUGAGGAGGACUUUUCUUGAACCAUAGACGGACCAACAUACAUAGACAGUUAGAAGGAUUAGGUUUUACCCCUUAAGAUAAGGACCUCCUUAUUGAGGAGAACUUUUCUUGGACCAUAGACGGACCAACAUACAUAUACAUUAGGAGGAUUAGGUUUUACCCGAUAAGAUAAGGACCUCCUUAUUGAGGAGGACUUUUCUUGAACCAUAGACGGACCAACAACUAGGAAACACAACGAGACCUUGAAUUUGAUCAGACAAAUAAACAAUGCAGCUUACCUUAGGUAGGGCGUAUUUGGGGUGCUAAUACCUUCCCUUUACGCAACCAGUCCCCGUACCUAAUCUCUGAGACCAGUUAGGGUUCCUAGUGACCAAAAUACUAGGUGGCGACUCCCAUUCCAUUUUCCUACCAACAAAAGACUAUUUUCUUGUCUCCCCACAUUUGCCAGAUAAAUACCAUACACACUUCCUAGAUUCUAAAAAGUGGAAUUUUCGCCGCGACGCCGCGCACCCCGCGACAUCCGGUAUAGGGGAGGUGCUGUCGAAUUUUUUUUUUACAUUUGAAUUUAAUUAUAUAAUUAUUUGUAUCAAAUUGUGUAGAUGCGUAAAACAAAAACCAGAGCUGGUCGCUCAGGUGCGGUCGCAGCUAGUUCGUCUAACAGCGAGGAUGAUAUUUCCUUAGGUGCCUCUCAAGAAGAGGCACCUACACCACCUGCGCCGUCAACCGAUGCUGCCUCUUCCAGCGGUACUUCACAACGCAGAGGCGGCGUGCCUUCGCAGCGGAAUCAAUUUACCCGCAAGUACGAGGCACAGUGGAAGGACGACCUUUCAAUGUAAGUUUGUUAAGGUUUUAGUUUUUUUAAAAAAAAUUACAACAUAAUUUAUGAAGUAAUCACUAUUGAAUUUAUUUCAUUUAUUUUCAGGUUCACAAACAUUGAAGCCGCCCGAGUAAUAUCAUCGGCGUUUAAAUCGUCGAUGGAGAUUCCAUUGUUUCAAUGGAGUUAGAUAUCCAAGCAUCCUGAAUGGAUGCCUCAAAUCAAUGCAUGGUUUAACAGGUUUGAGGUUGGUAUUAAUUUAUAAUUUUCAGCUUAUUAAUAUAAUUGUAAAUAAAUUAUUAUUUUUAUUUAAACUUGUUUAUUUAUACACAGCACAAAUUCUGCUGGGACAUUGAGCAUAACACUGUUGUGAGGAGGGUGUGGGAAAAUCACGCGGCAACUAGGUAAGAUCGAAAACAAUACAGGUUUUUUUUUAGACAAAAAUUUAUGUUUCGAAAUGUAAUUUUUGGUUGCGUGAAGUAGGUUGCGUGAUUUUUGGUAUGAAGCACAGAAAAAGGCAAAAAAAACCGCGAGGGAUAAGGGUUUCCAAGGCUGGAAUGAUGUUGCGGUUUGGAGGGAUUUCAAACCGAUAUACAUCCCGGAAUAUAUAUGGCCGCACUAUCUUGAGCACAUGACGUCUGAGCGGUUCACACGACGCUCACAGUCCGGUUCUGGCAACCGGAAUCGGCCAAUUCAUGGCGGGGUGACAACGCACACUGGCGGCUCCGUUCCGUUUGCUGCACAUGCGAAACGGAUGGUAAGAUUAAUUUAAAUGAAAUAUAUCGUUAAAUUCAGUUGUUGUUAAUAUAUCUUUUUUCAUUAUAGGCCGCGUCUCUUGGACAUGAGCCGAGCCCGAUGGAGCUGUUUGUGGAGACGCACGUGCGGAGUCAAGACCGCCAGAAGGGGGCGCAACAGUUCGUUGAUAACCGUGCUCAGCAUUUCGUGGUAUGUUUGUUCAACCAUUUUAUUUUGUAAGUUAUUAUGUAAGUUAUUAUGUUUAUUGUAUUGAAUAUGAUGAUUACUUUUUAUUUUUAUUUUCAGGAGACAUAUAAUAAUCGGUUGAGGGAGAGAUACGGGGACGAUACUUUGACCCAUCCGGAAUUCGAUCCGGAUUUGUGGAUGGAGGUUGGCUCGUCAGGUGGACCCGAUAAAAAUCGGGUUUACGGGCUCUCCAACAGUAUGGCCGACAACUUGCGGUCGACCCGUAGUGUUUCAACCGUUGGGAGCUCCCAAUCAAUAUCGAGCUCCCAAUCUAAGGAGUUCGUGGCUUUGCAGCAACUCGCCGAGAAAUACGAUAACCUAAAAGCGGAGUACGCACAACUCAAAGCGUUUCAUGCACAACAAAGAGCGGAACAAAGAGCAGAGUCUGAGCAACUCAAAGCGUCUCAAGCACAACAAAAAGCGGAGUAUGAAGCGGCUCAUGAACAGCAAAAAGCGGCUUAUGAACAGCUCCACGAAAUGAUUAUGAAAUUGUCAAAUAGCGGAACAUGUGCGCCUAAUCUUUUUUGGCUGUAUAACCACCAGACUCCGCCAGGAUCUCCACCUCCUCCUCCAGCUCCAUCAUCUUUAUAUUAAUUUGUAAUCAACAUUAUUUACCUUUAAAACUUCAUUUAAUAUUUUUCUUGAAACAUAUUCAGUUUGUAAUGAAUAUUAUUUAACUUUGUUUUUUUUUAUGUUUAAUAUAAAUUUUAUUUGCAUAAUUGGUUUGUAUUACAAUUAAUUUAUAUAGUUUUAUAUUAUAUAUCCUAAAUAAUUUUUUAAAAACAAAUUAAGAAAAAAACUAUUACCAAGGAUUUUACCGACGGAUGAAUUCGGUCGGUAUUUUAAACACUCACCGACAGCCUUACCGACAGAAUUAAUCCGUCGGCAUGUAACAGUAGCUUCCACAAUUACCGACGAAUUUACAGACGGACAUAUUCUGUCGGUAUUUCAUACAGUCCCCGACAGAUUUACCGACGGGUAGUUUCCGUCGGUCAAUCACAAUAUACCGACGGACUAAAAAUCCGUCGGUAUAUUUCAAGCGGGAAUCUUUUUUUUUUGGCGCGCAAAUUCCGUCUGUAAAACCAUCGGCAAAUGGUUUUUUUGUUUUUCCGACCGAUAUAGCGACGGAAUGGGGAAUCACCGACGAAGGGAAAGCCGACGGACGUAAUCCGUCGGUGAUGAUGUCGGUAAAAAAAUCACCGACAAACUUCUAAUCACACACCGACGGAAUUUUUCCAUCGGUAAAACUGUGAAAUCUUGUAGUGUUUUUGACUUAAAAUACCUAGCAAAACACUCUAGAGAUCUUGUUAAACCAAUCCAUUAUCACAAAAAAGCCAAAAAACCACCUCAAAACCCGAAAUCCACCUGGAACAAAAAUUCUUUCCGAGCUAAGAUCUGUUGUUUUAGCCUAAAAAUGGAUCCGGUUGCAACGCCAAAUCUAAAUAUUCCGAUUUUAUCCUUAUUUAUUUUUUUAAUAUAAAAUGUAUAUAAUUACAAAAGACAAUUUUACUUUUAUUGCAUGUUUAGCAAGUUUUAUCGUUACAUUGUUUGAUGAACAAUAAUUUAUAUACAGAUAAACAAUAACAUGUGACUUGUUGCUACCCAAUUUUUGACCCAUGUUUUGAUAAAUUUUUAAAAAAAUUCAAAAAUAGCGAAAAACAUUGAAAACCCAAAAAAUACAUUUUUUAUAUAUUUGCAUCGUUUUUAGCAUUUUCAGCGUCGUCUAAAAAGAAUUUAAAUUUUCAAAGGUCUUUCGAACGCGUUCAACUUUUAACGCGUUAAUUUUAAAAUCAUUGAUUUUCCUCAUUGAGUCGACGUUGAUAUUGCUCGUUUUCAAAAAUACAAAAAAAUUAAAGAAAAUCAAAUUUAAAAAAAAAAAAGAAAGUUGAGGAAUCAAGUUUGAGGUCCAAACAAUAUUUUACGGAAUUUUAAAUAUCAGAGGGGGAGGCAACCAGCCGCUCCCCCUGGCCCAAGACCAUUGGAUCCCUCUCUUUCGGCUGAAAAGCAGGAACUCAGCUCCCCACUUCUUUUCCUUUUUUCCAGCCGACAACAGGCCCUCCUCACAAGGAGGAACCCCUAUUUCUUGUCAUCUCCAGCUACACACCAGAGGGGGGGGAUAGUCCCAGAUUUUUCUUCUUCCUGACAGCCGUGGGCAGGGGCCCACGGCUCCCCAAUCUCACUUCCUUCUCUCACAGCCAUCAUCAGCCCUGCCCCUCUCAUCGCCAUUUCCCCUGCCAUUUCAGCCUUCCACCUCUGCCUCUCCACCCUCACAGCAGACCAGCCACAAGCCUCACGUCUGCCCCUGACAUCUCCCCCCUGGAUUUUCUUCUCUACUCCCUCAACUGCACAGCCGGCCCUUUCCCCUUGAUUUUUUUCCUCUCAUCUUCUUCCCCUCAGCAGCCGGCACAAACAGCAGCCCAGCCCUCCUAGACCCAUAUAGACCCAGCACCAGCUCCCACAGCACCGUUUCCCUCCAGCUUCUUCACCCAAAACCAUCCUUCCAUCUCCAAUUUUCUGCCCACUCAAGACAGCCCCUCACCUCCUCUCUUACUCCGAUCUUCACUCAUCAAUCGGCCAUAGACCAACAACAGCCACGAAUUAGCUCCCCCUUCCACAGAUCCUCUCUCUCAGCUGCUCCCUUCUCCAGCCGCAGCGGCGCCUUCUUCAUCCGGCAGCACCCAGCAGAGCCUUCCUUCUCCAGCUCCUCCCUCACAAAUCGCCCUGCAGCCGACAUCCAGCAGCGAGACCCAAGACCAACAGCAGCGAAGGAAGACCAUCAACGCCGGCCCCCAGCGGUGGCAGCAGCAGCAGCAUCGCCCACAGGCGCGGAGUAGUCCGCCUUCUCCCUCCGGUGGCGCCUGCAGUUUCGGUUUCCUCAACUCUCUCCUCCUGAACCAGCGGCCAGCUCGCCGCCUCUAGCAGCAACACCACUCUCUCGUCUGUUCCUCCUUGCCGCUCCAGCACAUGGAGCAGAGGAGAAGAAGAGGAUGACCGAAGGAGACCGAUCUGCAGUGAAGCAGAUCCAAAGAACCCGAACGAACCAGAUUUGAAAAGGGGAAAGGAAGGGAAGCCGAUCUGAAAACAAGAUUAAAACAGACUUGCUUGUUGCGUUUUGUUGUUUUGCAGGUAACGGCGUUGUCGCCGCCGGCAAGGAAGAGAAGAGGGGAGAAAGCCAUUUCUGGCCCCCCUGUUUCUGGUUUGAUUUCACGGCGGCGCGUGGACCCACGCGCCGCCAGCGGCGGUGGUGCGUGAGAUCCACGCGCCGCCACUGUCCUUGCUGUUCCAGAGGUCUUCACAGCACUAUUCCAGCGACUCAGAGGUUACCAGCACUGUCCCGGAUUGUUUUGGGUCAUUUUUUGGAAUUUUAGAAUUGUUUAAUGUUAUAUUUGUGUAAUUUUGAGUUUUUCUUUUCAUAGUUUGUAUUUUAUAUUUUAUGUAAAUGUGGAUGUAGAAGAAAAGAAAGAAAAGAAAAGAAAAAGAAAUGUUUGUGUGUGUUUGUUUUUUUUUUAUUUAUAUUAUUGAAUUAAAAAAAAAAAAGGACAAAAAGAAUUAAUUGUUAAUUUAAAUAUGCACAAAUAUCUAAAGGACAGAUAAAAAUCAUGUUGUAUUUCCCAUAAAAAUGUAGAACAUGUAUCUACAUAUAUUUUGGGAAUGAAUAACUGAUUUAUCAAAGCCUUAGAAUUGGGCUAAAAUUUUAUUUUUAAAAUGCAUCAAGUCCACGAAGCAGCUUACCUCAGGUAGGGUGUGUUAGGGGUGCUAAUACCUUCCCUAACCACAACCAGUCCCUUACCCAUGAAUCUCUGACAAGACCAGUAUAUCCGGUUUCCUAGUAGCCCGCAAUUAAUUACUAGGUGGCGACUCCAACGAACCAAGUAAAACGAACAACGAUAAAAUCGCCAGCCGAUGCCGCGCGGAUUUUUUUGACGUGCGACAGAAUGGCGACUCCGCUGGGGAAGGUAUUGUUUCUGACGAUAUUGGACUAAGCUUUGUGUAUUUGAUGUGUUUAUGUUUUUGCAUUUUUGUCUUGUUUUAUUUUUGUUUUAUUCAUGCAUUUUGUAGAAUUGUCUCAUGCAUCACAUAUUUUGAUUUUUCAAAGCACACACAAGCUUCAGGUUAGGAGGGGGACUAGCAGCUUACCUUAUGACUUUUAGUCAAGGUUUAAGUUUGUGUAAACCCCAACUCUUUGUUGAGUGCUUAGACUGGUAAUAGUUGGACAUGUGCCAUCUCAUUGCCUACAAGCCCCCAUAUUGCCUCCACGAGGGCAAUCACUGGGACAACAAGAGACCCUUUUUAGAGACCAAGUAGUAAACCUAUCUUUUGUCUCACUUAAAAAGAUUAGAACCUGCCUUUAGGAUGUGUGCUCCGUAUAUAUUGUUUUGCAUCAGGGCAAACCCUUCUUGAAGCAUCUUGAACUCAAGACUUUUGGGUGACCCAAUGGCCGUCACUCAGAAAAUUUUCAUUGUAGAGUUUGGGCAAGAAUCAAGAUUCUUGUUUCAUCAUACAAGAGUUACGACCAUAUGUCACCCCUCGAAGGGCGAGUUCUUCAUAUAGUUUACAUGUUCAUACAUUUAUCAUGCAUGUACCGGGAGGAAAAAUAGGUUCCCCCAUCCGAGCUUUGCUACACCUGAUUGAACAAAGAUGAUGAGAAAUGAAGAAAGGAGUCAAAGAGAAGCUCAUUAUCAAAGGGGAGUUGAGAGCAUCAAAGUAGCUAGACUCAGAUCUCCCUAAACAAGUGUUAAGCAUCAAAUGGAAAGAGAAUGUCUGCACAAUCUUCUGUGGAAACACUGCUUGUCCACGUCCAAGUGAAGCUGCACCUCUCCAUUUCAGUCCUGAACAACAACAGCAAUGCCUUCAGUCAUCAACUAAUGACAACUCUGUUCUUGUUCAGUUGCCCUGUUAAUUGUUCAUCGCCUCCACAUCUUUCAAUGGCACCAAAUAAUUGCUAGCCUUCUGUGCAUGAUGCAUUAGCCUUCUUUGAGGUUACCCUCACUGUGAGCUUAAUUCCAGUUCAAAAAAAAACAAAAAACAAAAAAAAAACAAAAAAAACCAUGAUUAGACACUGAACUUCAAUGUGGCAGAGCUCUCUCUACAAAAAUCUGUUUAUGGCUCUGCAAGUUGGGAAUGCAAGAGGGGAUUUAUAAGUUGCAUAUGCUAUAAAAAUCUCUCAUCAGUUUCAGCACAAAAACACUACAGUAGGUUGAAGAGCCAGACAUGGUCUGAAAAACAUGAACAAACACCAAACUUCUACGUUGCAGAGCUCUCUCUGUAGAGAUUGUUUUGGGGAUCUGCCAGUGGGGAAUGCAAGAGGGGAUGCAGUACUUUCAUAUGCUACAAAACUUUGGCUCAUCAGUUUCAGCACUGAAACACUGGAGUAGGCCGAAGAGUCAGACCUAGUCUGAAAACAUGAGCAGUCGUCGAACUUUGACGUGGCAGAGCUCUCUCUACAAAAACCUGUUUAUGGCUCUGCAAGUGGGGAAUUCAAGAGGGGAUGUAGUAGUUCUAGACAAUGUGAAAAGUUACCCCACCAGCUUCAGCAUCGAAACACUGUAGUAGGCAGAAAAGCCAGACUUGAGCUAGAAAACAGGAGCAAAUAUAGAACUUCACCGUGGCAGAGCUCUCUCUGCAGAAACCUGUUUGUAGAUCUGCAAGUGGAGAAUCCAAGAAGGGAUGCAGUAGUUUCUGAUCAUCUAUAAUUUUCUCUCAUCGGUGUUAGCUUGAAAAUGCAAAAGAAGGGAAAAGAGACAAACCUCGGCUGAAAAAUAGAAAGAAGAUUGAAACUUCAACAGAGCAGAGCUCCCUCUACAGGUGUCUGUUUGCUGCACCAUCAGUGAGGAAUCAAAGAGGAGACAAAGGAGUUUCAGAUUCAUCAGUUUCUCCUCCAAUAAAAACAAUGCACAUUUCAUGCAGUGACAGUGAUAGCGCUGCAUGAUUCUAUGCGCUGGCAAGAUUACCUAGCUGUUGGAAGGUUUCCAACAAUCCACAAAGGACCACAACAACAUUGGAAGAAUGACAUGAUGUUGUGAAGAUCAUCAAAAGAAUUGAGCUAGCUGUCAAGAUGGGAAAGAUUGAAGGAUCUGCCAUGGAUUCCAGAACUGUGAAGAGAUGAAUCAGGAGAUGACUCUGAAAACGGGAAACCAUAGUUAUGUGGUUUAGUCAAGUCUCACUGUAGCACCAGCUACUCAAGUGUCGUUGCCAAGAUUGACAUCUUUCUGCCACCCAAGUUGGACUACUAGCAUCUGUCAGAUUCCAGACUUUUUGCCUAACUCUGUUAAAUCCCAUGCAACCACUGUUUCUUAUGUGAUCCAAACAAGAGAUUUGAAUAUCAUGGGGGGAUUUCAGGCCAUUCAGUUGAAUAAUUGCAAGAAUCGAGUCCGCAAAUUGGUGAGCAAAAGACGAGAGGAAUCUGUGAAGGAGCUUGUCAUCGAUCAUUUUAUCGCCAGAACAUCCUCAGAAUGACGAGUGAUCGAAAUUGCUCGGUAAACACAGAUAUUGCCAGAAUAGUUGAUCCAAGAAGGGCGUUGAACUGUCAAUCAUGUUGUUAUGGAAUUUUUGCCAUUCUGCAUUUUGUUUUGGGGUCACAUCUCAUCCUUGAACGAAACAUGUCUUUUCUUUGUCUUUUUGUUGUUUUGAAAUCAAGAGAUGCUUCUUUCAAAGGGUAUUUUGACAAAAAUAUUUUUUUGAUCAAACUCCAACAUACAAAAUUAAAGCUAGUCAAUCCUGAAGAUUAAAAGUGUUUUGAUUGCGGAAAUGACUUGAUGCUUGAAAAGGACAUGAGGUGACCAAACAAUUUUGAACUCAUAUCUCCUGAAACUGAACAACACAUCAUAUAACUAAGUUUUAGCAGUAUGCAUAAUGACAUGUAGUGGAUUCGGUAGUUAUGGACUCGUGAAUCAUGACUCUUACAAGUCCAAAUCAUUACACUAGAUGAGGUCAAAAUUUAUCGAUUCUAACCGACUUUGCUUGAAAUGAGAAAAGGCCAUCUUCGAUAUCCCUUCACUUUCUAAAGAUUAUAUCCCUUGCAGUCCUAUUUUGAGCCUGGUAAAAUAUUCUCUUUCAAAAAGAAACCUUGACUAGGAUCACACCCCACACUGGGGGCAAUGAGAGAUAUGUUAUUAGGAAGGAUGAAGACACUGAUAGAAUCAAUGAUAAAAGAAAGGCUUAGAAUAAAAGCCCAAUGAUUGAGAAAGGGAGAACAAGAAAAGCCAUAGAUUGAGGGUCAUCCAAGAAAACUUUGAGGAAGGUUAUGUAAAAGCAAAAAAAAAAAAAAAAGGUGGAAAUGAAGGAGAAUGCCUAUCAAUUCUAAGAGGGGCAAAAAAGGUUUCAAUGGAAGAAAGACACAACAAAUGUCAAAAGUCAACACCAAAAAAAUCAAGUUUCAUGUCUUUUGGUGUGUCUAGGAUAAAGCCUUUAGUGUCUUCAAAAUUUUUUAGAUUCAUUAUUCAUCAGAGAUAAAGUUGGAUUAGCAUUAUGACCUAUGUUAAGAGAAUUCUGAUAUUUGAGAUAAACAAGGUUAUAUAUCACUUUCUCUACUAUGACAACAAGAGAAAGAGAGUUGAUGAAUAGUUGAUGUUGAUCUUAGGUCUUUGAAACCCUCAAACACCUAUUGAGCUUUGAAAAUUCCUUUCUUUCAUAGCCAUGAACCAUAGCCUACAUUACGUGCUCUUAAAAGCCCUUUUUAAUCAAGUAAACAAUUUGAACCGAUAAAUGGCGCUCUAAAAAACUUGAAGAGUUGUUCUAUAAGGGUCGUGACUUCAUGGAUUAAGCUACUGGUUAUUAUGCAUGCUGAUAAAAUUGAUGCUAAAAAAAAAAGAAAACAAUCUUUCUUGAUGAAUCCUCAAGUUUUGACUUGAGCCUUUUGUUUCUUGAAAUUCACAGAAGGUCACCUCAUCGCAGACCAUCAAAAGAUAUACCCAAGAUCAAAGAUUAAAACUGACAAAGAACCAUGAAAAAAAACCAUUUUAGUCUUACAACGGGUCAAUUUCUGUUUUCAAAAUACAUGACAAUCAAAGGACUGUAUAUUUCGAAUAACGUGUGUUGGAUCUUUGGCCGAAGAAACUUGAUUUUCAAAAACUAACAUCUCUCUGAUUUCAUUUCAACAACUAGACUUUGAAUUGACAUGAUCUUUGAAAUAUGAGAGUUGAUUCCAGAACAAGAAAGAUUGUUAAACAACAAGAACAUCGACCGAAUUUGCAAAAUCCUUGACAAGAAUGACAACAACAUUUCUCGACACUCCUUGAAAAGUUGACUGCUUGGAGGUAAUACAGUGGAUCAUGGGUAGGAAAACAAACAGUAUUCAGAUCAGCUGGGGGCAAUGAAAGAUGAUCAAAGGAUGAAUCAAUGCACUGAGGACAAUGGUGUUUAAAGAAAGCUAAUCAGCAGAACAAGCACAUUCAGAUCAUUACUCGGGGCAAUGUUGUUCAAAGACAGUCAGUGAUUUAGUGAACUUCAGCAGCAAUUGAUGAGCAACGCUGCACUUGAAGGGCAUUUUAUUAUCUUCAUCUUGGGGUUACCCUUUGAAACAUGGCUAUGACAGAUGUUAUCUCAUAGUUGCAUUAGAAUGAAUGUCAGAAAGAUGCACACCACCAAGACUGACUGUGGGACCAUCUAUUCUGAAGCUCAAAUGCGCACUUCACCGCAUGAAUAUGGGUGAUGAACAUCAUUGAUGAUGCCAACACAUUUCCUUUCAUGAUCUGAUUUGACAAGCUGAGAAGAAUCCAUGGAGAAGAACAUUGAGCUUACAACGAUGAGCCUUUUUUACUGCAAGAGGAUAAUUCUUAGAAGGAUCCAGGAGAGAAAAUCCUUCACGAUGAAUCAAGCAACACCACACUUGGGGGCAGAGUCAAGUGAUAAACAGCAAGAGCAGUAACCGUCGAAGACAGCCCAGGAUGUGCACUGCACUUACAACUGAGGGGAUGGCUAGCACAUGAAUGAGCCAAUGCAUCGAAAGAACCAAUAAAGCUUUGGAAUGCAAACAAAGGCACCCUAUAACGAUGGAUCAUCAAAGGGAGGGGCCUAUAUUUCACAUCAGGUAAGGAUGCAUGCAUGUCAUCUAACCUCAAAGCAUUGCACAUACUUGUGAUUUGUUACAGAAAGAUCCUCAAUGAAGUCCAGCAAGAUUAUGGACAAAGAAAGAAUCAUUGAGUCGAUAAUAACAGAGAAUCAUGGUUGUGACCUUGAAACGGGAAGAAGAUGAGAUAAACCUUACUGUUAGGAAAAUCUCAAAGAAAUGAAAAGAUCAACCUUGCAAUCAGAAAGCAUCGAGUUUUCAAACCCUGCGAUCAAGAAUUAUCAAGAAGCACCAAGUUUUCUGCCCUUCUUCUAUCAUCCCUUCAGGACUUCGCCAGGUAAGUCCCAUUUUUCACACUUGUCACAUCACAUCUUUCAUUUGGGUAGGUCACCCAUAACAAUGAGACCAUUUCAUAUUUUUUCUAUCCUCCACCUGGGUAGGUCACCCAUUACAAUGAGACCACUUCAUAUUUUUUCUAUCCUCCACCUGGGUAGGUCACCCAUAACAAUGAGACCACUUCACAUUUUUUCUAUCUUCCACUUGGGUAGGUCACCCAUAACAAUGAGACCACUUCAUAUUUUUUAUAUCCUCCAUCUGGGUAGGUCACCCAUUACAAUGAGACCACUUCAUAUUUUUUCUAUCCUCCACCUGGGUAGGUCACCCAUAACAAUGAGACCACUUCAUAUUUGUUCUAUCUUCCAUCUGGGUAGGUCACCCAUUAUAACGCGACCACUUCACUUUUUUUCUAUCUUCCACCUGGGUAGGUCACCCAUUAUAACACGACCACUUCACAUUUUUUCUAUCUUCCACCUGGGUAGGUCACCCAUUAUAAUGAGACCGCACUUCACAUUCUUUCCGUUUGGGUAGGUCACCCAUCAUAAUGAGACCAUUUUCCAUCAUUUUUUCUUGGGUUCGUCACCCAUACAAUGAGACCAUCAUUUUUUUCUUGGGUUCGUCACCCAUACAAUGAGACCAUCAUUUUUUUCUUGGGUUAGUCACCCAUACAAUGAGACCAUCAUUUUUCUGGGGUUCGUCACCCAUACAAUGAGACCACCAUUUUUCUUGAGUUCGUCACCCAUACAAUGAGACCACCAUUUUUCUUGGGUUCGUCACCCAUACAAUGAGACCAUCAUUUUUCUGGGGUUCGUCACCCAUACAAUGAGACCAUCAUUUUUCUGGGGUUCGUCACCCAUACAAUGAGACCAUCAGUUUUCUUGGGUUCGUCACCCAUACAAUGAGACCAUUUGUUCCACAUUCUUUGUUUUGGUUUAAUGAGGUCGCCAGAUGGGAUCUCAUGUAGCUUUGGUUAAAGGGAAUCGCCAGAUGGGAUUUCAGGUUAACCGAGUUACGUAACAUCUUUUAGUUUUGGUUUAAUGAGGUCGCCAGAUGGGAUCUCAUGUAGCUUUGGUUAAAGGGAAUCGCCAGAUGGGAUUUCAGGUUGACCGAGCUACCACACAUUUUUUUAGUUCCAGUUGAAUGAGGUUGCCAGAUGGAAUCUCAUGUAGCUUUGGUUAAAGGGAAUCGCCAGAUGGGAUUUCAGGUUGACCGAGCUACCACACAUUUUUAAGUUCAAAUUGAAUGAGGUCGCCAGAUGGGAUCUCAUGUAGCUUUGGUUAAAGGGAAUCGCCAGAUGGGAUUUCAGGUUGACCGAGCUACCACACAUUUUUUAGUUCCAGUUGAAUGAGGUCGCCAGAUGGGAUCUCAUGUAGCUUUGGUUAAAGGGAAUCGCCAGAUGGGAUUUCAGGUUGACCGAGCUACACACAUUCUUUGGUUUUGAAAAAGGAGAUCGCCAGAUGGGAUCUCAAGUUAACAAAAAAAAAAAAAGGAAAGAAACAUUUAGAGUUUUUCUUUACAAAGCUUACUAUGCGAAACAUUGAGGAGUUUUGCUUCGUAAGCAUUGUAAAGAGGGGGCAUCUGUUGCUACCCAAUUUUUGACCCAUGUUUUGAUAAAUUUUUAAAAAAAUUCAAAAAUAGCGAAAAACAUUGAAAACCCAAAAAAUACAUUUUUUAUAUAUUUGCAUCGUUUUUAGCAUUUUCAGCGUCGUCUAAAAAGAAUUUAAAUUUUCAAAGGUCUUUCGAACGCGUUCAACUUUUAACGCGUUAAUUUUAAAAUCAUUGAUUUUCCUCAUUGAGUCGACGUUGAUAUUGCUCGUUUUCAAAAAUACAAAAAAAUUAAAGAAAAUCAAAUUUAAAAAAAAAAAAGAAAGUUGAGGAAUCAAGUUUGAGGUCCAAACAAUAUUUUGCGGAAUUUUAAAUAUCAGAGGGGGAGGCAACCAGCCGCUCCCCCUGGCCCAAGACCAUUGGAUCCCUCUCUUUCGGCUGAAAAGCAGGAACUCAGCUCCCCACUUCUUUUCCUUUUUUCCAGCCGACAACAGGCCCUCCUCACAAGGAGGAACCCCUAUUUCUUGUCAUCUCCAGCUACACACCAGAGGGGGGGGAUAGUCCCAGAUUUUUCUUCUUCCUGACAGCCGUGGGCAGGGGCCCACGGCUCCCCAAUCUCACUUCCUUCUCUCACAGCCAUCAUCAGCCCUGCCCCUCUCAUCGCCAUUUCCCCUGCCAUUUCAGCCUUCCACCUCUGCCUCUCCACCCUCACAGCAGACCAGCCACAAGCCUCACGUCUGCCCCUGACAUCUCCCCCCUGGAUUUUCUUCUCUACUCCCUCAACUGCACAGCCGGCCCUUUCCCCUUGAUUUUUUUCCUCUCAUCUUCUUCCCCUCAGCAGCCGGCACAAACAGCAGCCCAGCCCUCCUAGACCCAUAUAGACCCAGCACCAGCUCCCACAGCACCGUUUCCCUCCAGCUUCUUCACCCAAAACCAUCCUUCCAUCUCCAAUUUUCUGCCCACUCAAGACAGCCCCUCACCUCCUCUCUUACUCCGAUCUUCACUCAUCAAUCGGCCAUAGACCAACAACAGCCACGAAUUAGCUCCCCCUUCCACAGAUCCUCUCUCUCAGCUGCUCCCUUCUCCAGCCGCAGCGGCGCCUUCUUCAUCCGGCAGCACCCAGCAGAGCCUUCCUUCUCCAGCUCCUCCCUCACAAAUCGCCCUGCAGCCGACAUCCAGCAGCGAGACCCAAGACCAACAGCAGCGAAGGAAGACCAUCAACGCCGGCCCCCAGCGGUGGCAGCAGCAGCAGCAUCGCCCACAGGCGCGGAGUAGUCCGCCUUCUCCCUCCGGUGGCACCUGCAGUUUCGGUUUCCUCAACUCUCUCCUCCUGAACCAGCGGCCAGCUCGCCGCCUCUAGCAGCAACACCACUCUCUCGUCUGUUCCUCCUUGCCGCUCCAGCACAUGGAGCAGAGGAGAAGAAGAGGAUGACCGAAGGAGACCGAUCUGCAGUGAAGCAGAUCCAAAGAACCCGAACGAACCAGAUUUGAAAAGGGGAAAGGAAGGGAAGCCGAUCUGAAAACAAGAUUAAAACAGACUUGCUUGUUGCGUUUUGUUGUUUUGCAGGUAACGGCGUUGUCGCCGCCGGCAAGGAAGAGAAGAGGGGAGAAAGCCAUUUCUGGCCCCCCUGUUUCUGGUUUGAUUUCACGGCGGCGCGUGGACCCACGCGCCGCCAGCGGCGGUGGUGCGUGAGAUCCACGCGCCGCCACUGUCCUUGCUGUUCCAGAGGUCUUCACAGCACUAUUCCAGCGACUCAGAGGUUACCAGCACUGUCCCGGAUUGUUUUGGGUCAUUUUUUGGAAUUUUAGAAUUGUUUAAUGUUAUAUUUGUGUAAUUUUGAGUUUUUCUUUUCAUAGUUUGUAUUUUAUAUUUUAUGUAAAUGUGGAUGUAGAAGAAAAGAAAGAAAAGAAAAGAAAAAGAAAUGUUUGUGUGUGUUUGUUUUUUUUUUAUUUAUAUUAUUGAAUUAAAAAAAAAAAAGGACAAAAAGAAUUAAUUGUUAAUUUAAAUAUGCACAAAUAUCUAAAGGACAGAUAAAAAUCAUGUUGUAUUUCCCAUAAAAAUGUAGAACAUGUAUCUACAUAUAUUUUGGGAAUGAAUAACUGAUUUAUCAAAGCCUUAGAAUUGGGCUAAAAUUUUAUUUUUAAAAUGCAUCAAGUCCACGAAGCAGCUUACCUCAGGUAGGGUGUGUUAGGGGUGCUAAUACCUUCCCUAACCACAACCAGUCCCUUACCCAUGAAUCUCUGACAAGACCAGUAUAUCCGGUUUCCUAGUAGCCCGCAAUUAAUUACUAGGUGGCGACUCCAACGAACCAAGUAAAACGAACAACGAUAAAAUCGCCAGCCGAUGCCGCGCGGAUUUUUUUGACGUGCGACAUGACUAAACUAAUAUAAUUAUAUGUAAUAUUUACAGGAAAUAGCUGAAAUAAUUCCCUUCCGGGUACCAGAACCAGCCACAGCCGGACUAGGCCAGGCGGGCAGAAUAGUUAAUGAUCGAUGGCAAAACUGUGGUCGACCGUGGUGUUGGAAUGAAUUGACAGUCCUCCUCCUAGGCAUGUCCAAGAAACAAACUUACCAGGACGUAUUUAUUGGUCUGCAUUCUAUCAGUGCGCCCCAUUUAUUAGCCUCAACUAUAAAUCAUAACCAUUAACCCCUUGUACCGUCAUCAUCUUUUAACCACUUCCCUUUCAUCUCAUCUUUUUGGCCUCCAUUUCAUCAUAUUUUGUUUUUUUUAUGUUUUUUAUAUUAAAUUAAUUUUUUAAAUUUUUAAAUUUUUUUUACAUAUUUAUAUAAAAUAUAAAUUAUAAAAAAUAUUUUCAUAUAUUUUGAAAUAAAAAAAACAAUUUUUAAAACGAUAUCAAUUCAACAAUAGCUGCCGACUUUUGACAGUUUCCAUGUAUUUUCAGAGAACUAGGUGCAGGUUUAGAUACGAAGAAUUUAACCUCAUCACAACAACAAAUAAAAUAUUUUUUGAAAAAAUAUUAAUAUGUGAGCAUCAUACGUACACGUGUGUGUGUGUGUGAUGAGAAAUUAAGUUAAUCAUUUGAGAUGCGUCGAAGAUUUGAAGACUAGAAGUAAGGAUCGAGGGAAGAGGAAACAAGGAAAAAAUUAUUUAUAACUCGCCAAAUGUUGCUGACACUUGUACUCUGUACCCACAGCGAGGCUCGGCAACAGAACUAGAUUAAACUAAUAAUUAACGCUUUAUCUUGAGUAGAAUCUUUAACGCUCUACUGACCUCGACUUUGGUUUCCAAUGAUUUCUUACUCGUCGAUGAAAGUGUCUAAUGAGAGAGGUUUUAAUUAUUUUUUAAAGAUGCCAGAGAUCCAAGUAUUCUGAUUUUAUUUUUAUUUUUUUAAUAUCAAAUAUAUAUAAUAACAAAAGAUAAUUUUACUGUUAGUUUCAUCGUUACAUUGUCCGAUGAACAAUAAUUUAUAUACAGAUGAACAGGAACGUGAUAUUGAACUAAAAUAAUUAUAGGUAAUAUUUGUAAAAAAUAGUUGAAAUAAUCCCCUUUCGAGUACAGAGUAACAGGACGGAGCCACAGCCAGAUUGGGCCAUGCGGGCAGAAUAAUUAAUGAUUGAUGGCAAAACUGUGGUCGUAUUUAUUGGUCCUGCAUACUAUCUCAACUAUAAAUCAUAACCAUUAACCCCUUGUACCGUCAUCAUCAUUUAGCCGCUACCCUUUCAUCUCCUCUGUUUUUGGGCUCCAUUUCAGCAUUUUUUUUUUCUGUUUUUUAUAUUAAAUUAAUUUUUUUCAUUUCUAAUUUUUUUUACAUAUUAAUAUCAAAAAUAAAAUAUAACAAAUAUUUUAAUAUAUUUUGAAAUAAAAAAACAAAUUUAAAACGAUAUCAAUUCAACAAUAGCUGCCGACUUUUGACAGUUUCCAUGUAUUUUCAGAGAACUACGUGCAGGGUUAGAUACGAAGAAUUUAACCUCAUCACAACAACAAAUAAAAUAUUUUUUGAAAAAAUAUUAAUAUGUGAGCAUCAUACGUACACGUGUGUGUGUGUGUGGUGAGAAAUUAAGUUGGUCAUUUGAGAUGCGUCAAAGUCUUGACUAGAAGUAAGGAUAGAGGGAAGAGGAAACAAGGAAUAUUCAGUGGAUCAAUGACAUGCUAUGCUAAAAAUAAUUCAGUGUGUUGAAUGUAAACAUGCUUUAAUUUCAACAAAUUUUUAAUUUAAUUUCAAUAUAAUUUUUAAUUAAUUUUAAAAUUAAAUAAUAAUUUAAAAACUUGAGAGUUUGAACUAACACAUAUAAAUCACGAUGAAAUUUCAACCUCUUUAUAACUCCUACAUAAUAUCUUCAAAUCAAUUGUAUUGUAAUUUUGAUAUUUUUAAAUAUUCUUAAAUGAUGAAAAAAAAUCACCAGCUGAAAAAACGUUAACUAGUCUAUGUUAAAAGUCUAUUGACACGUGCUCUAUCUUGGUUAGAUUAAUUUUUUUAAAACAUAAAAAAGACUAUUGAGAGCACGAAGAGUUUUUUUUUUUAUAAUGUUAUGAACUCUGAUCAAAUAGGUCAAUCCUAAAACCUUUUGUCUUAGCUGUUUGUCUAAUUCAAGUUUUAAAUUAAAUCAUGUGAGAGCUAGUCUGAUUAAACAAUUAAUUUUAUGGAUUCAAAUGUAACGUGAAUGACUAAUGAAAACAUAACUUAGCUUUUAAAAAGAAUUCAAGAUAAAUCUUUUUUAAAUAUCGAGACAAUGACAGAUUGAAUCAAUCCCGGUCCCCCAAUAACCCGGAUCAUGAACUCUAUUUGAUUUAAUAACAUUUUUUCUAAACUCUUUUUAAUUAUAUAAUAAAAAUAGAUACUCAUAAAAUUAAACACCAACCCUAAAAUAUAUAUUUAUUUGAAACUAUGAUAAAUCUAUAGAAAAUAAACAAAAAUAAACUUUAUAGUCUAUUUUCUAACCAAUCCAAUAUUAAAGGACGAAAUAAAAAAAAUAAAGGAUAAAAAAAAAAACAUCCAGUCUGUUAGUAAACCUGUCAAACCUGUGAAUCAGGUAACUUGAGCUAGCAUGCCAAACUAGUGAACGGGGUUAUGGACUUCACUGAGAUUAUAAUUUGCUUUUUUUUAAAAAAAUUAUUUUUUAUUUAACUAUACAAUAAUAAAAAUAGACGAUCGCAAAAUCGAACAUUAACUCAAUACUGAGAUAUUUUUUGAGACCGUGAUAACUCUAUAAAAAAAAAUGAAAACCAAUUAUGAAAUUAAAUUUCCAAUUAACCCAAUAUCUAUAGAUGAAAUCGAAAAAAAAAAAAUCUUUCCAAACCCGCAAACAAUGUCAACCAACCAAACAUGUGAACAGAUUUAUGAACUUUAUAAAGUUUAAUAAUAUUUUUUUUGAAAUUAUUUCUUUUAACUAUAUGAGAAAAAAAAUAAUAAAAAAAUCAAGUUCAAUUAAAAAAAAAAAACUUCGCUAAACCCAUAAACCAGUAUAACUUGGGUUAUCCAAGUAAACCCGCAAACUACUUUAACCAUAUAAAAAAACAAAUUAAAAAUAAAUAAAUUACAAGGCUUGGUUUUAAAUUACUUUUAUAUUGAAAGAUAAAAUAGAAAAAAAUCAUUUUGAAAAACAAACAACACAAAAAAAUUUUUAAAAAAAAAAGAAAAAGAAGAAAAAGCAAUACACAGAUUAUUGUAAUCCAUGGGGUAAUAGAUAUGAAUAAACAGUAGUUUCCACUUUAGCUUUCUCUUAAUUAUAGAAAACCAAUAAGCAAAGCGAGAGCAGAGAGAACAUAUAUCAUGAAAUUUUUGCUAUAAAAAUAAUAAUAGCAAAGGCUAAAACGGUAUGCUUAAAAAAAAAGGAAAAAAGAAAAAGUGGACGAUGGACGACGUGGUUUUGUCCCACAGGUUGAAAAAAGCAGUGUUUUAAAACGCGGACCGGCCCAGCGGGUCGACCGGUGACCCGGCCGACCCGGGCCUGGGACCGGUCCGGGUGGAGGCUAAAACCCGCUUGGGAAUUGGCCCGGGGAAACCCUGUCGACCCGCCGGGUCGACCCGGGAACCGGUCCACCCGGUCAAACCCGGGUGAGACCCGAUCACUUUUUUCCCUGCCGCUGCCUCUUCUCUUCCUUCGACCUCCGCGUCCCGGCCUAUUGCACCUGCUGCCUAAGGAGAAAAACCCGAGUUGGAGGAGUUCCAUUGAAAUUCACACUCUUCACCUUCUUCUCACUAGCAUUCACUAUAACCCCAGCUCUCCUAUCAGUCUUCUUCGCCAUCAAUGGCGUCAUCAUCGCCAUCUCCUGUUUCCCUUGCUCCUGUUUAGUAUAAUCCUUUGCUCCUGUUUCCCCAAUCCUUGCCCUUCCUUCCACCCCAUCCUCGCCAUCAUCCUCUGCGCCGCAGUCAUUUGUCCACCAGCACCAACUCCCAACCCUAUCGUCCCUGACAUCCCAAUACUAAACCCAUCCCCAUUCCUGGGUGGCGAAGAACUCCUCGGAACACCUCCACUCAUGGCAGCACGCCUUCUCCACGCUUCCUCCCCAGAAAUAUUCACAUCCCUGUCCCUAUCCUUCUCCCUUUCCCUUUCCCUCUCCCUCUCCUCCUCCUCCUCUUGCCUCCUCCUCUCAAUCUCCCUCAACCUCUCCGCUUCCAUCGCCUUCCUUUUUUUCUCCCUCCUAUAAUCUUCAUAAUCAUUCAGCCUGGCCGGAUCAUACUCCUCAACAACCACCGAAUUCACCCCUACCAGUUCUGGUUGCGGAGCAACCUCAUCGGGUAGCACAGUCGCCGCCGCCACGAACGAAGAAACUAAAGAUUUGGAAGCAGAGAUUUGGGGUUUAGGUUUGUUAGGGUUUUUUAAAAGUGAUGUGAGCAGAAGAAAUUAAUAAAAGUGAAUGUGGACUUGUGGUGUUAAUUUAGAAUUUAGGUUUUUUUUUUUGGGUUGACCCGGGUUAACCCGGGUCAACCCAUCUGACCCGUGACCCGAUCACUUGACCGGGUCGGGUUUCAAAACUAUAGAAAAAAGGCUUGUGCUUCUCGUGCAUCUUUUAUUCCCCUCCCCUGUCCCUUUCACUCAAAGGGUUAGUUCGAGUUUCUUCGCAUAUUGUUGAAAAUAUGAAGGAUAAUUGUUUUGCGACGACUGAUUGUGUCAUCAUCAAAAUAGGUAGGAUUAAAUUGUGGUAAUGAUUUUUUAAAAAAUAUUUUUUAUUUGAAAAUAUAUUAAUAUAAUAUUUUUUAAAUUUUAUUUUUAAUAUCAAUAUAUCAAAAUCAUUUAAAAAUAUCAAAAACUUUAAUUUAAAAUAAAAAUUUUAUUUUUUUAAAAAAAGCACGGCAUCACUACAAUAGUUAACACUCACAAAAUCUCGUGGAAGUGUUGAGUGCUUUUUUUUUGGGUUAUUAACUUGGUUCAUGAGUUUGAACCGGAUCACCUAAAUUAUUAAAUAGUUAAAUGAGUUUUAUCUGUCAAAAUCUUGGUUAAUUCAACUAAUAACCUGAACCGAUUUUAAAUUUUGAAUUUCCUACAUUAAUCUAUCCGGUUGGCAAAUAUUAUAAAUAUGGUAAAAAAAUAAAAAAAAAAAUACAGUACAGGCACACCACUCGUAUAUAAAAGACACCGAAGGUUUGAACUUUGAUCACUGAAUUGAGGUGUUGCCAAUUGAACUUCAUUGGUACUGGUAGAAUAUGGCAGAUGAGAAGAAACAAAACCUGGAAAACAAACCUGUGUUGUCUCCACCUCUACCCGAGAGGAAGAAAAACACCUCACCAAACUUCCUUUUAUCUGUUGAGCUCAAAUAUGUGAAACUUGGUUACCACUACUUGGUUUACAAUGCCAUGUACCUCAUGCUCAUGCCAGUACUUUGCGUGAUUUUUGCUCAUCUUUCAACAUUCACAGUUGAUGAGCUUUGGAAUCAACUCAAAUUCAAUUUUGUGACAGUAGUUCUUUCCUCAACCUCAAUUGUUUUUACUGCUACACUCUACUUCAUGAGCCGUCCAAGAAAAGUUUACUUGGUGGAUUUUUCAUGUUACAAGCCCGGACCAGCUCAUAAAGUAUCUAGAGAACUCUUCAUGCAGUUAUCUGCAGCGUCCGAGGUUUUCACAGAGCAAAGCUUAGCUUUUCAAAAGAAAAUCCUAGAGAAAUCAGGCUAUGGUGAAAUGACCUACGCUCCAAAAGGCUUGAUGCGUGUCCCGCCAGACCAGUCCAUGGCUGAAUCCUGGAGGGAAUCAGAGAUGGUGAUGUUCGGAGCAAUUGAUGAUCUCUUGGCCAAAACAAUGGUGAAGCCUAG
rnacentral:lncRNA from 1 species